rnacentral:lncRNA from 1 species
GGUUAAAGGUGACAUGAAAGUUAAGACUACUCAAACCUUUGAGUUGACUGAGAUUUUGGAGGACUUAGAUGUUGAAGAAGACGAUGCCCUGUUGGUGACUUUGGUGCCAAAGUCCAAAACUGCUCUUACCAUUGAUAGCAUCAAGAUUGAGGUUGCUGCUUGAUUCACCUGCUAGUACUUUUUUUUUUUUUUUUUUAAUCUCCUCCCUGGGAAAAAAUCUGGCAUUAGAUUUCAUCGAUUGCUUUGAUUUUGACCUAUGCAUGCAUGUUUCAGCACCAUGAAUAAAAUACUUCUGGUGUGCUUGUCACCAGUUAAUAAAAAUAUGUUUCAGCACCUAUCUGACAACGUCCCUUUUGGUUUUUCUUUUUGAAAAGUUUAAUUUACAUUAAAGUUUAAGAUCUUAUGACGCCAUCUAUCUAACUUUCUCCACUCAAAAAAAAAAGGAAAAAAAAAGAAAUAGAAAAAGACAAUUCUUCCUCAAUCAAAAUUAAAUUUUUCUGUGCGUAUCCAGAAGGAAAACAAAAAGUAAUCCUCAAGUACCACGUUUGGCAAAGCUUACAAGUGUUAGCUUCCGAUUCGCCAUUUCAAGUAGUCAGAUAGACUAUACAUUUAAUUUACCAAAAUAUAGGAGAGUAUUUUUUUUUUUUUUUUGAAAAAGAAUAUAGGAGAGGUUACAAAAAGUAAGGGAAUUCUACAAUAAUAAUGAUCCUUGCUUUUUGUGUGUUGAGGAAAGAGGUGAUUUCUUAAAUUUGUGCGAUCCCACUUUUCAUUUCAUAUACCACUUUUGAUUUCAUGUGCAACCUUAUUAAUUUGUGAAGACAGAACUUUAUAUUCUCCUACUUUCACAAUCAAUAGUUCAAUACAUAAGAAUAUCUGCAGCACAUGUGAAAGCUUGAUCAACAACAAAGGAAUUGAUUAGUUUCUAGCUCAAGUUGCCUAAUGAUUCAUAGGAAUGAAAGUUAAAAGGGCUUGACCCCGGCUCCUAUUUUUUAAUGUACAUUUACUUUAUAGGAAUAGGGUAAUAAUAUGCCAACCUACCCAAAGUUUCACGACCACGACAUGGAUCUCCCCUUGAAUUCUUGGAAGUGUAAUUUAGUGUUAAGUGUAUAAUAUGAGCUGUUAUACAUUUUUCUUAGAAUUCUAAGGGCGUUCUUGUUAUAGUGAGCAUCCACUUAAACACUAACAUCUUCCUUGUGUGCAACUGCUUCUUGUAAAACGAUCUAAGCAAGUGUCUUUAAAAUUCUUGGUCCGACUCUUAAGUCCUUGUUUUCUUCAUUUUUCCCUUAUAAUGCUUGAAAUUUUCUUUGAACAAUUAAAAGAAAAGUUGAAUAGGACAGAUAAAGAUUAAUAUAACUUUAUAUAAGUGAAUUCUCUAUUCUUGUAGAUUGAUUACCAUUCGAAAUAUUUGACAAACUUGGCUCUCUCACUCUGCAUUAAAUAGCUAUCGGUCAAAUUUACCAUAUAUUGCAGUCUUGUGGGACCAAGACCGACCAAUAAUUUGAUGCCAUCAAAAAUGCCUGUCGUCAUCAGAAUUUAAUAUGAUAGUAAAUGAGGAUUCUUGAAAAAGGGAAAAACGAGGGAAAAAAAACACACUAAUUAGUAAUUAUUAUGCUUAGCCUUGCAGUUGAAAUCUACAAUGAUAAAAAAAAAAAAAACUAAUUUUUGGUGUGAUGAUUAGCUGGUUUGUAUACUUGCAAAUUAAUUAUGGUGAACAGAAACCUAAUUUCUGUCCAAUGAAUUAUACAUUUGGAAUUUGUAGAAAAUUGAACUAUCUGUACAUCUGUCACUGCCACUAAAAUCAAUUGAAUGGUUGUAGUUUGGCCCUACAUUUGGAAAGAACAAAUAUGAAAAGGAAAUUACCAAAGGAAAAAAGAAUAAACCGACGAAAUUGGAAAAAGGCACAAAACCUCCCAUGUGAUAAAAAGUUCCUCUCUAUCCAAAUAAUAGAUAGGGGUAUUGGUUUUACUUUCUUGUAUUUGGACUUAGACAUAGUACUAGUGGUGGGGUCAUUCAACUCUAUUAAAAGAAAGACACAACACUACUGUGUUCGGCAUAUAACCAGAAGCUGUUGAUUUUCCUCUAUAAAUUUAUAAGGUCCAUCGGUCAUAACAAGAAGGCUAAAUAUAAUAAUAUUCACCAAGAAAUCAUGAUGGGCUUCUAUUAGUCAAUCGAGGGACAGGGCUGUUGAAGACCAAAGAUGCUCAUCACCGGGGAUUGAGAGACCGGAGAAGGAAGAAGUCCAUUUAUUCCAGACAUUGCAACAAACGUUAAGACUAAUUGGUUUUUCUGUCUUCUACCGGUCAUAUACAAACGUGAGGGACUAUUGUAGCUCUAGUUCUCGUGGGUGCUGGCAUGAUGAAGACUUUUCCCCUAUUUUGUGCAGACGAACGUUAGUUGUUUCGACGCUUGAAUAGAGGCGAGCAGGAAAAGUGAGAGUAUGCUAGAUUUCAUUUGAUACGAUAGAUAUUUUCUGUCCGGAAAAGGACCUGAUUUGAUGUUCAAAUGCAUCCAGCAUCCAUGAUGCUACGUUGCUUUGGAUUCGUUUUCACUUGUACGUAGCAGCGUUCCUUUACGUUCCCUUUGAUUUCUAAAGAACAAUCCAUCCAAUCGCUAACUACUCCUCCUCCCAAAUAUCAUCUCAACCUUCUAUUAAUUACUUCUAAUUAUCUAUUUGUAACAGCCAAACCUCUAUGCCAAACCAGAAAUUAUGUACAAUUCUUUCAUGAUUUUUUCCUUCUUCUUUUGCCUUCUGCAUUCGUAGAACCAAAGUAAUUCAUUGUAUCAUGUUCUUGACUCUGAGACUUGAACGUCUACAUCCUUAUAAUCACGUGUACAGACAACGAUACUCUGGUCCCGCAGCCAUUCUGGCCACCCACGAGCUCUUACGGAUAAAAUCCAUCCAACUAGUAAAGGAUAAGGCCAUUACUGAUUUUAGCCCCCUGGCGAUGCAAAUACAAAGACAAAAAACACGUACAACACCUGCAUUCCCGGAUGGAUUUCACUUUCGCGAGAUGCCAACGGCUGAAAAAGGACUAGCGAAGCUAUUCGGUCCAAUUUGCAUUUAAGAGGAGAAAAAGAAGGUGAAAAUUUCGACAAAUGCUUUGGGAUGAUAAAUAAAGAACAAGAUAAGAAGCCCCUCAAGGCUGAAGGCUAUGGACUGCAGAUCUUUUUCCACUUAAUAUUUGACUCGUUCCAUGCAUGGAUGAUGCACCUCUGGAAAUUUUCUAAACAAAGAAAAGAGUAGAGAAGUUACCUUCUUUGCAGUCUCUAAAGGACGAGCCCAUUCAUUGUUCCAAUUAUGUUCUUCAAUGAUUGCCCUACUCCCUUAGAAUUGAGAUUGGUCUGUCACAGCUUAUCAGGGGUCGUUAGUAUAAUGUAGCCAUUUGUAUGCCAUUUGGAUGUGUACUACACAAUCAGCAUGAGGCGCAAAGCAAAAUAUGUCUGUACUGUCAAAUCUGUACUACAUAAAUUUUAUUAGGUAGUAGUACACCACUUUCAUUCCCCCCCCCCCUCCAAAAAAAACCUUAUUUUAAUUUUUUUUUUUUUAAAAUUUUCAGUCACGUUAAGUGAAACUGUUUUAAGUUUUAACCAAGCUCUAACGGAUUUUAUUAGCACAUUUGGAUUGCUAUUUUUUGAGUUUUUUUUUAAAAAUAUAUUAUAACGAUAUGAUAUAUAAGAAGUUACAAAGUAAUCGAGAAAUGCAUUCACAGAAAACAUAAAAACUUUUUUUGAGACCAUCUGUAUCACGGGCCGGUUACGUGCAAUGGAAGACAUACUCUACAUUUUAUCGGUAGCCCAGUUCCAUCUCAUUGGGUCCUUCAUGUUUUUGGAGGUGGGGAGGAAAAAUACAGAACGCAGUUUAUUUGUGACAACUACCGUCUAGCUUCAUGAAGGAAAAAUUUAAAUCAAAUAAUCAGUUUUUAAAUAUGUUUUUUUGAGGUGAAAUUUUGAAGGAACAUUACCGCCCCAACCAAAAAUUUGUUUAUUCGGAGAUAAAUAAAAUUUGCUCUUCUCUUGACAUCUAAGGAAAAUCAAACGAAAAAUCAUUUACCAGCAGUGAUACAAGAAAUAUGACAUUUAUUUAUCUAUUUAUUUAUUUAAUAGAGAAAUAUGAAAUUAUUCAUCAAACAUUUGCAAAUCCAUGAAGAUGGGUACGGUCCAGAGAAGGCUAGCGAGACAUUUUAGAUUAUUUUAAAAUAGGUUGGGCAUUUUCUUUUUGCAUGUCAGCCCUUUUGUGAUGUAGGCUUUCUCUGAGAUCUCGGCCCAAAUAUUUAGUUCUUGGGAUUAAGGUAUACCUUGGGCUUGUUGGUUCACGGGGCCUAACACCAAAUUCCAGAUGGGCAUUACAAUAUUACAUGACACCAAAUGAGACAUUUGGGUGGGAUUGCAUCGCCAUUAGUUUUUUUUUUUUUUUUUGGGUUGAUGAGGAAUUCAAAGAAGAUUAAAUCGUUAUCAGAUGAAACAAAUGCCCGCUCAUCUGCUGGGAAAAUUUCCAAAUGAGAAUACGAACAAAUUAAUCUUGAGUACAAUAAAUAUGCUGUGCUCAUCUGAGCCAAGAAAAUUUGAGAAAGAUAAAUCCAUAUCUAGACUACAAAUGCUGUACUACUAGACAUCUUCUUGAUUUAAUUGCACAUAGAGUUUUAAUAACUAGCUGGUAUCUUGUACGUUGGUAAACAUCUACCUAAAGCGGGUUUGUUAGAAACAAAAAUAUUUCCUAACCUGUUCUUGUAUAUAUGUUGUUAAUAUACGUCUGGGUUGGCACGUACCAACGCUUCACUCUAAUGGUUGGAAGUGUCCGUAAACCCUAUCAUUUGUGCUUUCUGAUCAUUGAUACAUGGAAUGUUGAGAAUUGAAAAGUACAAUAAUGAAAUGAUCGUAUCCAAUGAUCAAGUACCAAUUCCUUGUCCAGAAUGGCAUGGAAAAACUUAUUUGAUACGAAUCCAACCGUGCUUGUAUUCCAACAACAGGAUCUAGACACGUGACUGCAAGGUUUGAUUGCACGAAACCCUAAACCUCCUUAGAAUCCCUUAGAUGAGAACUAAGACUAAUUCUUAAUCCUCAAGAAAAGAUUCAAGGAACUUAUGAUUUUGGUAGAAUGGUGCCACGAACAAUUUUGAUUCUUGUUUGAUAAGCCAAGAAGAAUACAUAGAACCAAUCUAAGAUAUUCAAAGGUUAACCGACGCUAAGAGAAUUACUGUUAAAACUGAAAUUUCUUUAUUGAUGAUUGAAUGAAUAAAACUCGGCCAACCCUUCUUUUUAUAGGGUUCAUGAACCGAAAUCCUAAGUAGCAAUGGAAAACGAUAUUAACUCCAACUAAUUCUAAACCUAACUUACUAAGGAAACUAUCAACCGAAUUUGGAAAGUGCUCUUACGCCCCAAAUGGACAAGGGCUGGUCAACUAAGGCCCACAUGGGCUGCCCAGCCUUAUUCUCAAGCCUAUACUAGACACUUAACUAGAUGAUGAGGCCCAUCAUGCAGUCCGCCCUCUCUCUAGUCAUCCGCGACUUCCUCAUGGAUUUGGAGUAGGCUCACCAUCGUGUGAUUGGACUCUUGAAUCCUUCUUAUGCGUGUAUGAACGAUUUGUAGAAAUGUUUGGAGGUUCUCUCGCAUCUUUCUUGCCCUUGCUAGAGUCAUCGGUCCAACGUUCAUUGAUGGUGCAUUUAGCGCCUCACUCGAGCCAUUUGAAUCAGCACCUUGGAGCCUUGGUGGUCCCUCGUAUCAUUCCCCUCCUCUUGAAAGCAAUUUGUUCGCAAAUUGAAACAUGAAUGAUGACAAAAGGAGUUACAUGCCGUUGAGUCAAUUUUGUUAUGAUUACCACAAGUUUCCUCCAAUGCAAAAACCACUUGCUAAAUUGGAAAGUAACCCUUGUUGAGCCUUGAAUCUUACGAACCAACUUCAAUGUAUGCUCAAUUUGAUCGCCUUUGGCCAUGAGGUAAGGAUCCUCAAAGUGAUGCGGCAUAGGUCCCAUGAAGUCGAAUUGCUCAAAUUUGAAUAAGCCUGCAAAGUAUGCAAACUGAUUUGGUGAAAUUGGACCUCACCACAACUCCUCCUUGGACCGAAGAAGGCUUUGGUAAGUCUCCCACCACAACUCCUCCUUAAAUGGUUCAACCUCAACCUUAGACUUGGAAGAAACUAAUGGGGUCUCUUUUCUCCUUGAAUAGGUUGGCUUUGUAGAGGUAGAUUGCUUAGAACUCCUCUUUUUUACAUCCCUAUUCUCUAUUCGAUCAAGUCGUUUGUGAAGAGGUUCAAAAGUUUCAUCCAAAAUCUACUUGAAUUCUUCCCUUAUUGCAUCUGCAAAAAGUUUAAAUUUGAAAGCUUGAGAGCUUGUUUCUCCCUCGUUAGCCAUGGUGAAGUGAAAACUGUGUAUUUAGCAGUGAAAGGAGAUAAUUUUACCUCACAUACUCCCUCAUGUGUAUGCACUCACACUCGUGUUUUCACACACUAAACUCUCUAAUUAUAAGCUCGCCAAAUAUUCUCAAAACUUUGAUUUCACCCUUGAAGAAGUUAGAUCAAUUCAAAAGUUGUUCAAUGGCCUACCAAGGAAAGAGUCACUUAGCACGUAAAUUGGGGAAUGUAUGUUUAGAGAGUCGAAGCUGAUUUUGGAAGCUCGAUUACUAAGAUGAAUAACUUAACUAAAACUUGACUCGGACUGAUCAACUAGGAGAAUAGACAAUUAGACUCAAUAAUAAAAAAAAAGGACUCAACCGACUCAAAUCAAGCAAGAAAGAUGGCUGUAGUUUUCGGAUCCUAAAAGGACUUACCCGACUUGCACUUGGCUAUUUUUUGAAGGUGUAAGACAAGGCUUCUUGGACCUUUUUGGGUAGGUGUUUCGGCUGAAUGUAGAGGUUUCCUACGUGGCACAAGGUUCCAAUUAGAAUUUGGUAAGCCAAGUGUAACUAGGAUUUGUUUAUAAACCCAAGUCAACUAGGUUUUCAAGUUUCAAUAGGUUUCCUUUAGUUGUAGAAUCGAUUCUGGUUUCCUCUUUGUUCUUGUUAAGUGGCUAAUUGUGCAUAUAAUUGGUACAUAUUAUCCCCUUUGUUUUGCUAAAAUAUGGCGUUAAUCGAUAUAUUUCACUCAUAUUUGAAUUUUGGUACUGUUUGUAGGAGUUGUUAGUGAGAAUGAAGUAAAAGGCGCGUUAAAAGUCGACUUUCCAGAAGACGUCUUGUAAAGCGUGCCCACGCCUUAUCAAACUCGAAGUGGUGCUUCUAAAGGUCCAUGUCCAAAAGAGCUUUCGUUAUAAAGCGUGCCCACGCCUUAUUUGGCAAAGCAGUCAAAAGUUCGCAAGACACAAGAUAAAUCUGUCAAUUGGUCAAGGAGCCGGUUGCAUCCCAUGGGCUGACACAUUAGCCACGGAUUGAAGACCUUGAGGGGCCAUGAUUCGAUGUAAUUAUUUUGGAAAUUCAAUUAAAAGGUCUUAGUUGGAUAGUUUAGGGGAACUAGGAGUCUUAAAAGGAAAGAGGAGCCUAUCCCCUAUUAAUAGGGGAGAAAACAGACGUGGGCUGGAAUUCAUCAUCUAUCUAAAACCCUUUUAUUCUCUCGUUGGUUUUAUCUUUGAAGGGAACGAGCCGUCAUCUUUAGAUUUCUCGAGAGGAAUGAAAUUACUAUGAAAACUUUGAAUGGCUUUGUUGUCAUGACUAUGCGGCAAGGCUAGAUCAUUUAUCUAGUUGAGGAAUAAAUCAAGGAUCGGGGUACCAUAACUGUGAGAUCGUUUUAAUUGUUCAUUUUUAAUUUGUAUGUUCAUGGGUAUUUGAUUAGUCUCUAUUUUUUCCUGAGUUAUUAUUGUUUAGAUUUUUUGGAUAAUUAGACCUGUUAUUCGAUUGUCUAAAUAAUUGAUAGCCAAUUAGGAUGUUGGCGCGUUGCCUUUAAGCAUCUUGAUUAGUGGCAAACGAGACAAUUUCACCGUCACGCAAGCGAUCUAAUUUGGAUCGUGGAAAUAAUUAAUCUAGCCUAAAUAAACCCGCAUUUGUGUUUGUUAUCUAGAAUUGGGUCUUUCUAAUUCCUAAUGCUGUGGCUACAUUAAAUCCUGUGAGCGUUUCUGGGGUUGUCUAAUCACAAGAGGGUAGUUUAUGAGCGUCUCUUGACUACCAUAAAAUUAAGGAAAGAUUGGUGGUUGGGCGCGUCGCUUGACCACUAUAACCAAUUUAUUCGUGAGUAUAUGAAUUGUCCCUUGUAUCUGUGAUCAGUUGUGUGCUUCGGUGCCAAGAUUAAUUCCUUGACUAGGUUGUUUUAGUUAAUUGUUAUUUGUGUAAUUUGGUUCCUGCUAUCUUACUCAACUUUGAAUUUCCGUUUUUACUCCUUUUUUAAUUAGUUGGUACUAUUGCUAAAAAUUCCCCCCCAUCUUCCUGUGUGAUUUGCCUAUCAGUUCCCUGAGGAGACGACCCUACUUGCCCUGUUUACAAAUUAAAUUUGAGAUUGUGUUGGUUGGCAAUUAGGCUGUUAUUUUUAACUUUAUUUUUGGAGGUUUGACACCCACCAGUUCUUUCUUGUGUUUCUUUUUUUUUUCUUCCUUUUGUAGUAUAGAACGUAACCAGAUUGCUUCUUUUCUUUCUUCCAAUUCGAACACAACUCAAAGCAAAAGCUCGGCUAUGUCUUGUGAGCAAGAGCAGCUGCUACUUCAAGAUUCAAGAACUAAAUUAAUUGAUUUCAAGAAAUUCAAGAAUCACCUACGAUUUUCAAGAUUUGCAUCCAAGAUCUUUUGGCAAUUCAAGAUUUGAAUCAAGACUUUCAAAAACAAGGUAAAACAGUCUUAUUGUAGUGCAAGACACAAAAAUUUUCCCACCCUAUUAUUCAAGAACCCUAAUCGCUUCAAAGAAAGUAGCGAUCAGAUUUGUUGUUGUAGUUUCAUUUUUUUUACGUCAACAAUUUUAAGACUCAAGAACAAAACAAUCAAGACGCAAAUAAGAACAACAAAACGAGAUAGAUUGGCAACUAAACUAAAAAAAAAAUUUUUACUAGUGAACACUGACUCCAGAUGAACAGUAGCGAUGAACAGUAACGAUGAACAGUAAUUUUUUUUUCUUUCAGAUUCACGAAUGACACAAAGAAAUACUAUGAACAAUAAGGAUAUAAUCUGAAAGUUGUCAACUAGCUCUGAUUACCGGAUGUGAUACACACUUGAACACGAUCUAGAUAAUAACAUUGACGGUUUGACACCGGAGAAUUUGAUCCAAUCUAAUUCUCAAAAUAGCGAACAAUAUUGAUACUAUCUCAACUCGUAACUUAACGAAUUAGCGAAUCAAAUUAUAGAUAGUAGAACGCCACAACCAAGGAGUUACUUGAUUGAUAAGUUCGGAAUGAAUAACUUGAGAAAGACUCUCAAUUAUUCAAAUGAGCUCUCUUGGAAAGAGAAAAGUGAAUAACUCACGAAAUUUUAUUGAUAAAAAAUUGAUUAUGAAGGUCCCUAACUUCGCCUAUAUAUAGCCAUACAAACUAGAAAGUCUAAAGUAAAUUGGAUUCACUUAAAUUAGAAAUCCUAAAGUGAAUUGAAUUCACUUAUUUACUAAACUAAUUAAUUCGGCUAACCAAGACAAAAUCUGGCCGAAUUUUAAUCUCUACUAAAUGACUCAAUUUGGCAAGGUAAAUGACAAACAAACCCUUGCUUAACACCACCAAAUAAAUGACACCACUUGGACUAAUUAGUUAACUAAAUUGAUUUGCUUGGACAAUCUUCAUGUUCUCAUCAUUCCCCUCCUCUUGAAAGUAAUUUUUCCACAAAUUGAAACACAGAUAGUGACAAGUAGGGGUGGCAAUUCGGGUCCAAAUCAAGUUGGCCGUGACCCGACCCGCCAACCCGUGACGGGUCAGGUAUACUGACUCAAACUCGAAAAUUUCAGGUUGACGGGUUGGCGGGUCGACCCGAAAUGACUCCAAACUUAAUUUUAAUUUAUUAAUUUAUCACUGUAAUUUCUAAUAAAAUUAAUUUCUCACAAAACUAAUUACAUAAUCAAGUAAUAAAAAUUUAAAUAAAUAAUUCCAAACCAAAUCUAAAAUAAAUUAAACACCGUAAAAGUGUGUUAUCCAAAACAAAAUAUAAAAUAAAUUAAAACAGUAUAAAAGUAAAAAAUAAUAUAAUAUAUUAUUUGUCCAAAUAUAAUAAUUUCAACUUCACACAAAUUAAAUAAAUUCAUUUAGGAUUAAGUAAUUAAUGCCUUUGAAAAAAAAGAAUAACUUAAUUUAGUUAGAUAAAAUUAUUUUUAUGUUUAUUAAAUUAUUUUUAAUUCGUAAACGGGUCAUAUCAGGUCACCACGGGUUGACUCGAAAUCGACAUGUUUUCUUUUCGGGUUCAUCGGGUUCAACACGAUUCUGACCCGAAUUCCCGAAACUUAAACCCAAAUCCAUUAAUUUUGUGUUAGAUUCGUGUCGUGUUUUCAAGUCGUGUCGAAAAUUGCCACCUCUAGUGACAAGAAAAGUUACAUGCCUUUAGUCAAUCUCGUUAGGAUGACUACAAAUGUCAUCCAAUGCAAAAAUCACUUGCUAAAUUGGAAAAUACUCCUUGUUGACCCUUGAAUCUCACGAAUCAGUUUCAAUGUAUGCUGAACUUGAUUGCUUCUGGUCAUGAGGUAAGGGUCCUCAAAAUGGUGUGAUAUGUAUCCCAUGAAAUCCAACUCAUGCUUGAAUACACUUGCAAGACUCCAAGGCAGCUUUAUUGGAGUUGGAUCUUCAUGUGGACUAAGGGCAAGAUGACAAUUGUAGUGGCAAUGAUCAUUAAGGAAUUCAUUCUUUGAACGAACCCUUGGUACAUAUCCAUCCCCAAAAUUUGGAAUGUUCCCUUCAAUAUGAGCUCGAAUUAACUCUCCAUUGGUGUGGACAGAUUUGAAUUGACAUUGUUCCAUGAAUUGAUGUCAAAGGGACUUAACUCUUGAAAGACAAACUCCAUGGAAACUUACAAGGUGUACAAUUGACUUUGGAAUGGAAUACACCAAGAUUACCUCAACUUGACUUUACUUGAUCUGUAUAAAAGAAGAAACACUAAACAAAACAAAGGUAAGUUCGUUAGGAAAAUAAUAGACCAUCAUAUUUUUGCUCAAAAUCAACUAACUUUCUCUCUUUUCUUUUUUUUUUACCACUCAUCUCAUCAGAUUUUUCCAUCUGCUUUUCUAGCUCAAUAGCUGACUUUUUCCUCUCAUUAUUCUCAACCUCUUUUUCCUUUUCAACUCCCUUGAAUUGUAUCUCAUCAGUCACAAUUCCCUCAUCUACCUUUUUCUUCAUACUAUAACACUUAUGCUCACUUUUCAUGUAUGUUAGAUCAAUACCAAGUUGGUCAUAAAUAAGUGAUACAAGUGCAGAAUGACGACCAUUAAAUAAGAAGGAAUACUUAUUAGUAUAUCCAUCAUAUUUAACUUCUCGCCUCAACAUCCAUGCUUUACCCAACAAUACAUGUGUCACUUGAAUUGGGACUACAUCACACAAUACCUCAUCCACAUACUUGCCAAUUUGAUUAGGUAUAAGUGUGUGCUUAGUAACCCAAACAUCACCAUGAGCACUCGACAACUUAUACGGUUGAAGAUGAUCAAUGGUUGAAAAAUUUAAUUUGUUAACCAUGAUAGCGCUUGCAAGAUUGACUUUGCAACUCCUAUCAAUGGCCAAGCUGCCGGUUUUAUCUUUGACAUCACAACGAGGAUAAAACCAACCAUGCAACUUAAAUUUUACAAUGUCCAACUGCUCAUCUAUACCACGUAAUGCCACUUCUUUAAUUCCCUUAGGAUCAGGAAGAAGAUGUUGUAAACUAGCUUUUAAAUGCCUCGUAUUCGCCAUGAUGUAUGAAAAAACCUAUAAAAAAAUUAGUGAAACAAAAGAUAUUUUUCUCACCACACAAUCUCACGUGUUUACACUCGUCACUUGUGUAUCACUCAAGUGUUUAAAACACUCUAAUACUCUCACUAAUCACUUCUCAAGUCACUUGACUGCUUCUCUUGAAGAAAUCAGAAUUUUUUUUCAAGAAAUUCAACCAAACUUCACUCAAGUUUUACCCAAAAUGUGGCGUAUAAUUGCUGAAAUUUUAGGGUUGAAUAGGGACUCAAAAAGGCAGCAAAACAUGAGCAAAACAUGCUGAAAUUUUCAAAUUUUAGUCCACAAAAAAGGUGUCCUAAGUGUUGGAAGUGUUUGACUUUGACAAGUACUCACUUUGGGAACUAACACCAAUUAAAUCCUAAACUGAUUUGGACUUGUUGUGGUAUAUUUAGACACGAAUUUAGACCUGAAAAAUACUAAAAAAUGAUGCUAUUCACUAUGGGACAGUUUGUAAACUACGACUCAACAAGGCAAAAAUUUGGCAGAAUUUUAGAAAACCUAGAUGAAACUCUACCCGAUUUGCACUAGGCUGGAUUUUUGGAAGUUGUAAGCAAGGUGUAAUGGGUUGUUUUUGGAUGGUUUAGUGGCUGAUUUUCUGGUUCUUCACGACUCCAAAGGUGACCAAUCAGAAUUUGGUAAUUUGAGUGCAACUAGGGUUUGUUUUGCAAACCCAAAUCAACUUGAUUUCCAAAUUCAAGUUGGUUUCCUUUUUGUUUUCUCCUUGUAAUUCGAUUUUGUUUCCUCUUUUUUUUUUUUCUUGCGUUUUCUUUCUUUCUUUCUUUCUUUUUGUAACGUAAUCAGCUUUUUUUUUCUUCAAUUCGGAUCACAACAAGAAACAAGAAUCUCGUUUGGAUAUUUGCACAAGAUCAGUCCAAUUCAAGAAACAAGAAUUAAAUUUUGAUUUGUUCUAGAUUUGUUUAAUCUUGGUUUCAAGAAUUUCAAGAACCAAACCACUACUUCAAGAUAGAUGUCAAGAAUUCCAACCGUGCUUGGCGAACUCGUAUUCCAAUAACAAGAUCUAGACACGUGACUUCAAUAUUUGAUUGCGCGUAACCCUAAACCCCCUUAGAAUUUCUUAGAUGAGAACUAAGACUAAUUCUUAACCCUAAAAAAAAGAUUAAAGGAACUUAUGGUUUUGGUAGAAUGGCGCUACGAAUAAGUGUGAUUCUUGUUUGAUAAGCCAAGAAGAACACUUAGAACCAAUCUAAGAUAUUUAAAGGUUAACCGACGCUAAGAGAAUUACUCUUAAAACUGAAAUUUCUUUAUUGAUGAUUGAAUGAAUAAAACUUGACCAAGCCUUCUUUUUAUAGGUUUCAUAAACAGAAAUCCUAAGUAGCAAUGGAAAACAAUAUUAACUCCAACUAAUUCUAAACCUAACUUACUAAGGAAACUGUCAACCGAAUUUGGAAAGUGCUCUAACGCCCCAAAUGGACAAGGGCUAGUCAGCUAAGGCCCACAUGGGCUGUCCAACCUUAUUCUCAAGCCUACACUAGACACUUUACUCGAUGAUGAAGCCCAUCAUGCAGUCCACCCUCUCUCUAGUCAUCCGUGGCUUCCUCAUGGACUUGGAGUAGGCUCACCAUUGUGUGAUUAGACUCUUGAAUCCUCCCUAUGCGUGUAUGAACGAUUUGUAGAAAUGUUUGGAGGUUUUCUCGCAUCUUCUUUACCCUUGCUCGAGUCAUCGGUCUAGGGUUCAUUGAUGGGUGCAUUUAGCGCCUCACUCGAGCCAUUUGAAUCAGCACCUUGGAGCCUUGGUGGUCCCUCGUAUCAUUAUUGCAUAUGAAAUGGGGCAACAUAUAUAUUUGGUGAACCAUAUCCAGUCUCACAAAUUAAUCUUGAGUACAAUAAAUAUGCUGUGCUCCAAGAAUUAGACUAGAGAUGGAUCUUCUGUGGUGUAACCGGGCAAUGACCGACCAACCAGUAGGCUAUGUAUAUUGUUGUUGGAGUAGUUAGAUUCACAUUUGAGCUUUCACAUGCGAUGUUUCCCUCAAAACAUUAACUAAUCCAGCUACCUAUCUCGGAUUCACAUUUAAUGUCACAAUUUAUUGUUCUUAAAUAUUUUUCUUUAUUGUGAAUAUAGGCAAUGUCACAGUCUUACCUCUGGACAACACACACAGUCCCGUGACUUUUUACUAAUUGAUAUUUAGGACCACAAUUCAAUGUUAUCAUGAUUUUUCAAUAACUAUUAAAUGAGAUUUUUUAUGAAUUUUUUGCUGUCUUUUUUAAUUUUCUAUUAUAUAUUACUUUUUUGAAACUGUUGUAUUUAUUUUUUACUCAAUUAAUAGUUAUUGAAGUUGCUGUAUUUAUUUUAUAAUAUUUUAAGUUUGUUAAAUUUUGUAUAUUACUCAAUUAAUAGUUAUUGGAUCUUUAAAAAAUAAAAAAGAACUAAAAUAUAAUGUUUAUGUAGGAGAAAUAGCAAUAUAAUAAAAAGUGGGACAGGGAGUGGCACAGGGUGUGGGACAGAAGAUCCGUUGCGCCCCUCGCAACGGAUCUUCUGUCCCACACCCUGUGCCACUCUCUGUCCCACUUUUUAUUAUAUUGCUAUUUCUCAUUCAUAAACAUCAUGUUUUAGUUCUUUUUUGCUUCCUUAUGAUUCAAUAACUAUUAAUUGAGUAAUACACAAAAUUUAACAAACUCAAAAAAUCAAAUUUUUUUAACUAGCCUCUGCAUGGGUCGGUCCUUUUUUUUUUUCCUCGCAACGAUAUAACAUAUUCUAUUCUAAUUUAGGGGGAGGAGGAGUCUAAGGAGGCUUGUGUCAAGGGCCAGUAGAUAUACAAAUCCAACUAGACCAAAAAAGUGUUAUGACACAACCCUUAGAACUUUUUUUUUUUUUACAGAUAAAAUUUGAAUCCUCACCUACAACCCAAGAAAAGAUUUAAAUCCCUUCCUGAUGGCCACUGAGCUAGACUCAGUGGUUAAUUGGCCAGGUCACUUGCGUUCUUUUAUACAAGGUUUAAUCGAUGUUUGCGUGAAAUUUUGUAACAGACCAUAUACGAUUCUUAUCUAAGGCCGUGAAGUAAGAACAAUUGCACCCAAAAAAGUGAUGUAAGAGUGAUCCAUGAAAAUUUCAUUUUACCAUAAAGAAAGAUCAGCAAUGCUGCCAAAGAUUGAAAAAUCUGGGUGCACAGUAUCGUAUUAGAGUGUAAGUUAAAAUUAGCAUCUGUACUCCUUACCCUUGUCUAGGCAUAUUAGAGUGUAAGUUAAAAUUUGAUAUUAGUAUUCUAUUAUGUCCAAAACACCUUUCUCUCUAAUUAUUAAUUAUUAGAUUUAUUGUAUUCUAAUAGUAGUCAAUAAUUGUAGCAGUUAGAAUUAGAAUCAUGAUAAAUAAAAUAAAACGAUCCAACCUGUCAUGUCUUUUUGCAUUCCAUCUUCCAUUUUUAUUUCAAUCUAGAAUUUUUAUUAAUCACAAUCUAAUUCAAUUUCUAAACCGUCAAAAUUAUUGCUAUUGAUACCAAAUCAAAAUGCUUUUUUUCCAAUGGAGUCGUUGUCAUUAGUGCUUUACAUUAGGUCUGCUUAAAAUAAUAAAAAAUAAAAUAACAUAAAAUAACAUAAAAAAGUAAAAAAAAAACUCAAUUAUCUCUACCAAUGAAAUUUUAGUUAUAAAAAAUGAAUAGUUGGAUAGGAAAAAAAUAUUUAUAGGCGGUGGAUCAUCAACACUCUAGUGUUAAAUGAAAUAACACACAAAAGAAUAUAAAGAAUCCAAUUUCAAAGAAUAUACAUUUCUUCACCCAUAAAAUGAUCUCCACCUCUACUUUUAUCCAUCAUGUGCUCCAAUCUAUUCUAGAUGAAUUACAGUAAUGUGAAUUAUAACAAAAAACAGAGAACAAAAAUUAAUGCCUACAUUAAAAAUUAGUAGUAUUUUAAUUGAAACAGCACUAAUGAUCAUUAACAUCUAACUAAAACAGCAAUAUCAAUCAUUUCACCUAUCAUUAAUACCAAAAAAAACUGAAAAAAUAACUAAAAUGGAAGAUAAAAUCAGCACAUGAGACGUGCGAGAACAGUGAACUAAAAAAAAGAAAAAUUUUGCUUAAAUAACAUCAAAGAGAACAUUCACAUCAGUGAAAAAGCAUACAUAAAGACAAUAAUAUAAUACUUGGAAACCAUAAAAAAAGAAAUUACAUCUUAGAUAUUCAGCAUUUUAGAAAUCUUAUAUUUCAAAAAAUAUAUACAUGCGGUGAUAAUAAGUACGUCUUAGAGUUUACCAAAACAUUUUGCCGAAUUUCCCAAAAUUAACUACCGAGUCGUAUGUUAUUGUAUUGAGUAAAAUCCUGUUGGGACUGACAAAAGUUGGUGCGCAAACUUACUUCCCUAACAUUUGAGCACUAUUUUUCCCCCACAAGAACGAGUAGCGUAUUAAGGUUUUCUCCUAGUCUCGUUUUAUCUCAUUUUUAUUUAUCUCUAUAGUUACUACAAAACUACGGACAAUCCGAAUUCAGGAAGCCAGAUUGGCCUUGUUUGGACUUCACAUGCUAUGCUUAAUUGCUAUUAAUUAGAUGAUGAUAUCUUUGUCAUUUGAUCAAACAGAUCCUUUACUGUAGGACGAAUACAUUUCUUUUAUGUCACCCUCUGACAUUUAAUCCACAAUUAGAAGUUUUGUUUCUUUCCACAAUUAGUGUUCUUGAUAAACUGUCAUUGAUUUAAAAUUUUUUUACAAUUUUGGGGCAUGUCAAGCUCAAAUAAGAGGAUCCUUGUGCACAUUGGAAUAGGAUCAUUUUCAUUUCUUUCCUUUCAGUGUAUAAUUCUUCAAACAAAUCAAAUCUCUCAGAUCAUUCGUUUCAGCUCGAACGGAUUGAAAGCUUUCAAGGGCGGCUGGGAGGAUUUGCUGUAAAUGCCAUUCCUCCAUGUACGUCCUUAUGCGGUAAAUGACUAUGACAUCGAUGAUAGCCCUCAACACACAUGACAGAGUCAGUCCAAGGACGAGGCUUCAUGGUUCAUUAUCAACAGUUAUGUAUCCGAAAAUUUACGUUCUCCUCCUCCAUAAUCUGUACAAGGUUCCCAGAAAGGGGGGGUGGGAAAAGGUAAUGAAUUUAGAUCCCAUGCAGAAACUGUUGGGGAAAUCGGGUAAUUUCCCACUCAAAAAUACAACUAAUGAUUAAACCGAUUCAGUAAUUCUCAGGAAAGAUCGUCGAAACAAUCUCCUUAGACAGAAUUACCAUUCCAAGUAAAUUCCCAGGAAAGGCUGGAGGGGUCACAAGCGGUCCCACUUAAAACCCAGUCUCCUAGACAGAACUUACGUGCACGGUGUAUUAUCACAACUAUACCCGUGUAUACAUAAAUAAUACGUAAACACGAAUAAGAAAAUACACCCAAAAGAAUCGUAUAAUACACUACAAAUAAACCCGACAAAUAUAUUGAAUACUAUACUAUAAUUGAAAAGAAACUGUUAAAUAAAUGCGGAACAAAAUAAAAGAGAUAAGGAAAGAACGCACCCGAAAAUUGAUAACGGAGUUCGGCCAAUUUUGCCUACUCUCCGAGCACCACUCAAGCAGCCCGCUUUUAUAAAUUUUGGGAGAAGAAAGACUUACAAAAGAAUUACAAAAUCCUUUUUGGUGUAAUUCUUUUGUUUUCUUUUUCUUUUUGGUGCAUCUCAAUUGGGAAGCUUGAGAGCUAAUUUAUAGCUCUCAAGCAACCUCUCAAAUGCUAAGUUAUCCGAUGUGGGAUUUGUAAAUUUUGCCAAAAAUCAACAAUAUUGGCUUGAGAUAGUCAAUAAUGUUGGCUUUGAAUUCAAAUGUUGCCUUUGAAUUCAACAAAUCUCCACCUUGGCAUAAUUUCUAGUCCCACCAAAAAAUACAAACCUUCUCACCCAAACGGUCCUUGCGAUGCUUCCAAAUUUGCGCCGUUAGGCGCCAACUCAAAUAUGCAGGAUAUUGACCAAGUCUAAACAAUGUUCAAACUUGGACCUUGUAACCACCUUGGUCAGCAUAUCUGCAGGAUUCUCCGUAGUCCGAAUCUUCUGAAGAAAAAUCUCCUCUUCUUCGAGAAUUUCCCGCACAAAGUGAUAGCGAACAUCAAUGUGCUUCGUUCUUGCGUGCAAGACUUGGUUCUUUGCUAAGUGAAUAGCACUCUGACUGUCACAAAACACAUCAAUGUGUUUUUGACCAACUCCCAAGUUUUCAAGCAAUCCUUGAAGCCAAAUUGCCUCCUUCACAGCUUCUGUAAUCGCCAUGUACUCUGCCUCCGUUGUUGACAAAGCCACCGUUGACUGCAAAGUAAACUUCCAACUGACUGGCGCCUUGGCAAAUGUGAACAAGUAGCCAGUUGUAGAACGUCGCUUAUCCAAAUCACCUGCAUAGUCAGAAUCACAAUAUCCAACUAUACAUUGACCAAGUGAUUUAUCCUGCUCAAAUACUAAUCCAACAUCUACGGUAUUUUGGAUAUACCGUAGAAUCCAUUUCACAGCUUGCCAAUGACCCUUGCCUGGAUCAUGCAUAAACCUGCUUACCACACUAACUGCCUGUGAAAUGUCGGGUCUCGUACAUACCAUUGCAUACAUCAAGCUACCAACUGCAUUAGCAUACGGGACUUUCGCCAUGUAUGCUCGCUCUUCAUCCGUCUUUGGAGAUAAUAGGCUACUAAGUUUCAAAUGAGGAGCAAGCGGAGUACUUACAGGUUUUGAAUCUUCAUUCAUGCCAAAACGUUGUAGUACCUUCUUCAAAUACUGCUUCUGUGUCAGACAAAGCUUGCCUCUCGUUUUAUCCCUACUUAUCUCCAUGCCGAGAAUCUUCUUGGCUUCUCCCAAAUCUUUCAUCUCGAACUCUUUACUCAACUGAACCUUCAAUUUGUCAAUUUCAACUUGGCUCUUUGAUGCUAUCAGCAUAUCAUCAACGUACAAGAGUAAGUAGAUGUAGGAAUCAUCUUGUAGCUUGCCCAAAUACACACAGUGAUCAUAUUUGCUUUUUGUGUACUUCUGACCCAUCAUGAACUGGUCAAAUCGUUUGUACCAUUGCCUCGGUGAUUGUUUCAAUCCGUACAACGAUUUGCUCAGUUUACAAACCCAAUUUUCUUUACCAGCAACUUUGAAUCCAUCUGGUUGAGACAUAUAGAUUUCCUCCUUCAAGUCACCGUGAAGGAAUGCGGUCUUCACAUCAAGUUGAGCUAGCUCCAAAUUCAACUGCACUACCAAGGCCAACAAAAUUCUAAUCGAGGAAUAUUUAACAACUGGAGAAAAUACCUCAUUAUAAUCAACUCCCUCCUUCUGAGCGUAGCCUUUAGCCACCAAUCUUGCCUUGUAGCGAACAUCAAUCUUGUCAGGAAAUCCUUCUUUCUUUGCGAAUAUUCAUUUGCAUCCAAUUACCUUCUUGCCCUUCGAUAGUUGUGUCAACUUCCACGUCUUGUUCUUCUGAAGAGAUUGCAUCUCUUCUUCCAUAGCAUCUUUCCAUCUAUCAUUUUCUGUAUUUUGAACUGCUUCAGAAAAUGUGGAUGGAACAUCAUCAAUAACUGGAAGUGCAUAAGCCACCAUGUCAACAAAACGAGCAGGUUUAUGAAUUUCUCGUCUUGCCCUAUUGACGGCAAUUGACUCUUGCUGCUGUUGAGGUUCUUGGGUUGAAACCUCUUCCUCAUCUGACUCCUCUUCUGUCAUGGGAGAGUCACUGAUGGUGCUGUUUGCUAGACUCACCACUAUUUGCUCAAACUCCACCUGUUUCGGCGUACACUCCACCUGUUGCGGAGUACCACUGGUUCCAUCUUGUGUUACCUUAUUCAACAUGGCAGAUUCAUCAAAGGUAACAUCCCUGCUGAUAAUGGUUUUCUUUGCUUCUAGACACCACAACCGGUAUCCCUUAACUCCAGCACUAAAGCCCAUAAAGAGAGCCUUCUUUGCACGUGGAUCCAAUUUUGAUUCAUUUACAUGAUAAUAUGCAGUAGAACCAAAAAUACGCAAAGAAUCAUAAUCUAUUGCAAGUUUUCCAGACCAUACCUCUAAUGGAGUCUUGCCACCGAUUGCAGUUGAUGGCAAGCGAUUGACGAGAUGUUGAGUGUAUGUCACAGCCUUAGCCCAAAACUUUCUGCCUAACCCAGCAUUAGACAGCAUGCAACGUACUUUCUCUACUAGUGUCUUGUUCAUACGUUCUGACACCCCAUUCUGCUGCGGUGUUUUUCUAACUGUGAAGUGCCGAACUAUGCCACAUUCUUGGCAUAUCUUCUGGAAGGGAUCACUCUUGUAUUCUCCACCGUUGUCUGUUCGGAGAAUCUUGAUCUUUCUUCCCAUCUGGUUUUCAACCUGAGCUUUCCAUUUAAGGAAAAUCUCUAGCACCUCAUCCUUGCUUUUCAUAGUAAACACCCAAACUCUUCUGGAAAAAUCAUCAAUAAAAGUGACAAAAUAAUACCUGCCACCAAGGGAUGGAGUCUUGGCAGGUCCCCACACAUCUGAGUGCACAUAAUCUAAAAUACCCUCGGUAUUAUGGAUACCAGUGCCAAAUUUCACUUUUCUUUGUUUUUCCAGCACACAAUACUCACAAAAUUCUAAUUUGCAAACUUUCGUACCUUUCAAUAAUCCUUGUUUGGCAAGAUUUUGCAAGGAUUUUUCACCAGCAUGUCCCAAUCGCAUGUGCCACAACUUUGUUGCCUCUGCAUCUUUCUUGCUACUGGAAGAUGUUGCUGCUGCUGCUGUCCCAACAACUGUACUACCUUGGUAGUAAUACAGGUUAUUCUUCCUCACACCUUUCAACAUCACAAGUGCUCUCGAAGUUACUUUAAGAAUUCCAUCUCGCAUCUUCACUUCCAGGCCUUUUGACUCCAAGAGUCCCAAGGAGAUGAGAUUCCUUUUCAAAUUCGGCACGAAUCGAACAUCCUUCAAGAUUCUGGUAGAUCCAUCAUGAUUACGCAGCUUGAUUGAUCAUAUCCCAACUGUUUUACAUGGAUUGUCAUUUCCCAUGUACACAACUCCACCAUCAAAUUCUUCAAAUUCAAAGAACCAUUCCCGUAUGGGAGACAUAUGGUAGGUACAAGUUGAAUCCAAAAUCCACUCAUCUGGAUGGGAUGUUAAAGGUGAUACAGCCAAAGAGAAAUCUGAUUCCGCAUCACUUUUGCAUUCUGCAACAUUUACGUAUUGCGGAGCUUUCCCUCUCUUCUUUAACUUUGGACAGUCUUUCUUCCAGUGCUCUUUCUCACGACAGAAAGCACACUCAUCUUUGGCAACUCUGCUUUUCGAUUUGGACCUUCCUCUUCUCCCCUUUGAUUGGCUUUGUUGACGACCUCUUGCCACUAACGCUUCAUCUGCUGCAACUACUUUCUUUUUCAUUUUAUCCUGCUUUCUCAAUUCACGACUAUACAAAGCAGAACAUACAGCAUCUAAAGACACAUUUUCCUUCCCAUGAAGUAACGUAGUUUCCAAAUGUUCAAAUUCAUCAGGAAGGGAUGAUAACAACAUCAAAGCCAAAUCUUCAUCUUCAAAAUUUACAUCUAAAUUAAACAGGUCUGCUACUAAUUGAUUAAACAUAGUGAUGUGUUCAUUCAUAGUAGUACCUGGUUGGUAAUCGAAUCGGAACAAUCUUUUCUUCAUUAGGAGUUUAUUCUGACCACUUUUCUUCAGAAAUUUCUCCUCCAAUACCCUCCACAAUUUCCAUGCAGAAGUCUUGUUCUUGAAAGCAUAUUUUUACUCUUUGGACAAACACGAUCGAAUAGUUCCGCAUGCCAACCGAUUUAUGGUACUCCACUCCUUCUCUUCUAUGUCAUCUGGUUUCUUUUCUUCAAUGGCAAUGUCAAGACCCUGUUGGAAAAGGGAGUCCAUGACUUCGCCUUGCCACAUGCCGAAAUGGCCAGUACCGUCAAAUGUGUCCACCGCCACCUUCAAACUUGACAUUGGAAUUCUCGACCAUGUGGACGAGGAAGCCGACGCCCCAGAUAUAAUUCUUGACGUGGAAUUGUCAGAUGCCAUUACAGACUCAAAUGAUAGUAUUCAAUAUAACAAAUUACAAACAAGCCAAAGGACGAACCUUCGGCUCUGAUACCACUUGUUGGGGAAACCGGGUAAUUUCCCACUCAAAAAUACAACUAGUGAUUAAACCGAUUCAGUAAUUCUCAGGAAAGAUCGUCGAAACAAUCUCCUUAGACAGAAUUACCAUUCCAAAUAAAUUCCCAGGUAAGGCUGGAGGGGUCACAAGCGGUCCCACUUAAAACCCAGUCUCCUAGACAGAACUUACGUGCACGGUGUAUUAUCACAACUAUACCCGUGUGUACAUAAAUAAUACGUAAACACGAAUAAGAAAAUACACCCAAAAGAAUCGUAUAAUACACUACAAAUAAACCCGACAAAUAUAUUGAAUACUAUACUAUAAUUGAAAAGAAACUGUUAAAUAAAUGCGGAACAAAAUAAAAGAGAUAACGAAAGAACGCACCCGAAAAUUGAUAACGGAGUUCGGCCAAUUUUGCCUACUCUCCGAGCACCACUCAAGCAGUCCGCUUUUAUAAAUUUUGGGAGAAGAAAGACUUACAAAAGAAUUACAAAAUCCUUUUUGGUGUAAUUCUUUUUUUUUCUUUUUCUUUUUGGUACAUCUCAAUUGGGAAGCUUGAGAGCUAAUUUAUAGCUCUCAAGCAACCUCUCAAAUGCUAAGUUACCCGAUGUGGGAUUUGUAAAUUUUGCCAAAAAUCAACAAUAUUGGCUUGAGAUAGUCAAUAAUAUUGGCUUUGAAUUCAAAUGUUGCCUUUGAAUUCAACAGAAACAUACAUAAAACCGUGAAACCCUUCAAGUUCAAAGGUGCUGUAAUUAUAUAUAUUGACCCCCAAAUAAUUGAAAAUUCGUAUUGUUACCAUCACAAUAAUUCCCUUUGCCCUGCAAUCCAGGUUAAAGUUCCAUGCCAAGUCUCCUUCAAUCUUUCUCAUGGCAAAGUCUUUGUGGAAAAAGAUGGUGCAUGUGGAACACGCUUCCACGUUAUUCACGGGCAGCCAUGUUGGUGGUCAGAAAUUCGCAAUCUGCUAUUGUUUAUCGAUUUCUACAAAGAAAUGAAUAGAAAUCUGAUAAAUCAAGCCAAAUUUAGCAUCGGCAUUUCUUUUCUCCUAAGCAAAUGCCAUUUAUGCAGUUUUUCCUACCUUACAAAUGUGGGCAUAGAUGUCUCAGAUUAUCCUGACACUUCAGUUUUCCCUCGUUCUAGAAGUAUAUUCACAGUCUGAGCAUGCUUUGUUUUUUAUUUUAUUUUAUUUUUCCUGCAAUGUCAAUUAUUUCACUUUUCGCUAGCAUUAGUUUAGGAUUUGAGAAUCGAUUCAAAUCAGUUACAGUACCAGGCAUUUUUUUCCUGCUUUAGGAAGUGCGGAACGCGGGAACAGUUUAUGGAGCCAGCAUAGGAAUCAGACCAGCAGAAAAUCCAUGAUAAAGAGGAAGUGAAGAUGACUUAAUGGUUAAGGCAAAAUGGGACAGACAUAUACAAAACUCAGCGUCUAAGCGAUCAAUUGAUUUCAAUCCUUCGCGAAGGCUGCAAUUUUGCUCAGGUAUUUGAGUGCGCUGUCAAGAAAUACGAGAGAAAUGGGUGUCUUACUAAAGAGACGUAAACCUGAUAUGGCCUCAAUUCAGUCCAUGGAACCUGGAUUGUCUGAUGCUGUGAUUUUGACCUCCUGCUGCUGAAAUAAUUCACAUUGCAAAGACUAUUGCACAAGGAAAAAAAAAAAAAAUACUGUGACUCAAAUAAUCCACUUGAAUUUUGCUCUUCUUAUCUCAAUUACAAGUGCUCAAUGUAAUUGCAUAGACAAAAGGCAGUGACAACUGACAAGUUCCUGGGCAGUCGCUUUAAAGGGAAAAAAACAAAAAAUGUAAGAAGAACACGUAUAAAUAUGUACAAACUGUUGGAGAAUUGAAUAUCCAUAUGUCAGAGUCAGACAGACCAGCGUUGUCUCCUCCGUGUCAAUUAUUAGCAACUGCCAAUAAUAAUUAUAAUGUCGCGCAAGAUUCUGCUCCGUAAUGACUAUGAAUUUGGACAUUUAUUAGGAAGACAAAUCUGGCCGGCUUUUCUUUCCAAUUUUUCAGAAGACAAAUCUGGCUUUUCUUUUACCUAAAUGUCCCUCACUUAACGUAUCCACAUCAAACUAAAACACCCCCCCUCUGGACGUCGAAAUCCCACGCCCACCAACCAACCAGUGCCAGAAAUUAUUAUUAUUUGUUUCGUUGUAUAAAUGAUUUUAUGAUUCCAGCUUUGCCCACGCGUCAUUGUUGGACGUAAAACUCCUCCAUCUUUCUUCUUCAGCAUUUAUCAAGUGGAUGCUUGGCUUCUUGUACACAAUUGAAUCCGAGUCUACAAAACCAACUGCUCUGGGGAUCAAAUACGACGGACUCUGGCAAUCUUCAUCUCCAUCUCCAUGCAUCGAAGAUUCCCCCGAAACAUUGUUGUAGGCCCUAAAUGACCCACUUCGACGACCAUGUGAUUCACUGAAUUAUAUGAUUAAGUUUGACAACUAUACCUUUGUCUUCUUCGCUUCCAACAGUCCAAAAGAACUAAAAGUAUGUACAUUAAAUACAGAAGUUCUUCUUUUGAACAAGUUCCUGAUGCAUGGAAAAACGAAGCUUGUAUUCUUUGACAAAAGGAUCGGUGCCUAAACAAAUAAAAUUGUUCUUUGCCAAGUUCAAACACACAUACUUUAUCAUAUGCAUUUUCUGCUGAUUGCUUCAUCUAUUAUAAUUUAUAGCAUACAUAAUUGAUGAGUAAUGGAGAGGAAAACAAAAGCAGUGUGAGCCUCCAUAGCAAUGAAGCCGAAAAACUAUGCAUGCUAGCGAGGCUUUUACUAGAGCGUAGUAUGUGGAUAAAAUCUGGGAUUUAUGCUUUUGUUUCUCAAUAUCUUAAAUUCAUAAACCUCUUUUGCUCAAAAUAAAUAAAUAAAUGAAUUCAUAAUUAAAUUCAAACAACAAACAAGAUUUUUUGCUGUAUUUUUGAGUUUGAUGGACCCAAACCAUCAUCACAGGAAAAUCUUCAAGAAAUUACUCGACAACAAAAACCCACGAGAAAAUCUUCAGGAAAUUGAUUAAGAGACAAAGGGGAAAAAAAAAAAACCUUUUAUUUCUCACGAUGAAGAUGAAGGCUGCGGCUUUUCUACUCUCAUGAAUCUUAGGCCAUUGCACACUUUAGACGAAACAGAGGGACUCUCAUGGUUGUCCCAUGCGGCUUACUUGUCACAUACAACUACCGUACUGCCUGACAACUAUUGUACUGACUACUACGUACAAGGGACUGUAUCUCAUGUUGUCAUCAUACAAACUGAAUAAUAACUUACACUACGAAUGACACCUGGCUCUCUACUAACUUAACAUAUACUAAUACUAAAGCAUAAAAGCGUAAUAAGGCUUGAUUUAAUAAUUUCUUUACAGAGUUUCAAACUAAAGUUUGAUGUUGUUCUUUUAAUAAGUAAUAAUCUUGUGUUUGAGUAUAAAUAGUAUUAAUCUUGUAGUUGGAUAUUAGAGCUGAGGUUUGUUCUAUAGAAAGGUGUGUAGUAAAUUUAAGGAGUUUUGAGAAAUAAAAAAAAAAAAGAAGAAGAAAUUGAUAAGAAAAGGCAUAGGUAAAGUCCUGCCGGCUGAGGAGAUGAUAUCUUCUCUGCUUACACAUGCAAUCUACCUAGAUACACUUAAAAAAUAGAUUAAAAAGGUUAAAAUAUUUUAUGUACAAUUAAAAAGAUGUACGAAUUGUCUGACCUAUGGCCGCCGAGCAUUAUAGUACGAACUACAAACUGCAUGAGAAAUGUGCAGUACAAAUUGUCUAUUUUCUUAUAAGUUUUCCGUCUGUAUAGUAUCGUAGUACAACCAAGUAGUACAGACAAUUGAAAGCUAAACUGCUAAAGGCCCCAACGAUCAACAAGCCUACUUAUAGUUAUAGGGGUAUGCCAAGUUUAUACUGAUUAGUACUAAUUCGGAUGUGGGCUCUCAGGAAAGAAUAAUUAUCCUUUCGAAAGGCGAAAGAUGAGAAUGAUUCAUUUGAAGAUUAUCAAAGUGUGUUGGUGACUUUCGUGCGGAAACUGGAGAGUGGUUUUGUAACCAUUGGUGCUAUUGAAACUCACCUUGCUCCCAAAUUCGGGUUUUUGGUGUUUUUUUUUUUCGAAUUUUCUGUCGAGGUUCAAAAUUUCUUGCAACUUUCUUUCCAUUUCCAAUAUGCCGUAAAUUGUAACAGCAGAUGGUUUUCUAUUUCAGUAUGAGACUGUGUAUUAUGGUCACAGCACCUCUCUUUGGACCAAAAUCACCAACACGCUUUCGUGAUCAUCAGCCCUACUCAAAUUCUCUCAACUCCUCAUCCAUUCUGAAGCUGGAGGAUGUUUUCUCUGUGCCCAGCACAAGCAGGUAAAAUUUCCGAAUUGCCAUGUGUUAAUUUGUUGCACGAAUAUAGUUUACUUGCUUGGAUCUGUCAUUCGGAAGCAGGAAACAGGGAAUGGAUGAAAGAAUUCAGGGGCGCAACGGAUCUUCUGUCCCACACCCUGUGCCACUCUCUAUCCCACUUUUUAUUAUAUUGCUAUUUCUCCUACAUAAACAUUAUAUUUUAGUUCUUUUUUAUUUUUUAAAGAUCCAAUAAUUAUUAAUUGAGUAAUAUACAAAAUUUAACAAACUUAAAAUAUUAUAAAAUAAAUACAGCAACUUCAAUAACUAUUAAUUGAGUAAAAAAUAAAUACAACAGUUUCAAAAAAGUAAUAUAUAAUAGAAAAUUAAAAAAGACAGCAAAAAAUUCAUAAAAAAUCUCAUUUAAUAGUUAUUGAAAAAUCAUGAUAACAUUGAAUUGUGGUCCUAAAUAUCAAUUAGUAAAAAGUCACGGGACUGUGUGUGUUGUCCAGAGGUAAGACUGUGACAUUGCCUAAAUAUCAAUUAGUAAAAAGUCACGGGACUGUGACCUGGCCAAUUAACCACUGAGUCUAGCUCAGUGGCCAUCAGGAAGGGAUUUAAAUCUUUUCUUGGGUUGUAGGUGAGGAUUCAAAUUUUAUCUGUAAAAAAAAAAAAAAGUUCUAAGGGUUGUGUCAUAACACUUUCUUGGUCUAGUUGGAUUUGUAUAUCUACUGGCCCUUGACACAAGCCUCCUUAGACUCCUCCUCCCCCUAAAUUAGAAUAGAAUAUGUUAUAUCGUUGCGAGGAAAAAAAAAAAAAAAAAGGACCGACCCAUGCAGAGGCUAGUUAAAAAAAUUUGAUUUUUUGAGUUUGUUAAAUUUUGUGUAUUACUCAAUUAAUAGUUAUUGAAUCAUAAGGAAGCAAAAAAGAACUAAAACAUGAUGUUUAUGAAUGAGAAAUAGCAAUAUAAUAAAAAGUGGGACAGAGAGUGGCACAGGGUGUGGGACAGAAGAUCCGUUGCGCUCCAAAUGGCAUACCGAUCAACUGUUGCCCUCCCUCCGCUGCGGGUAGCAGUGAUUAUACACCUUCUGCUCGCGAAGUCUACACAAGAAUGCCGGCUCACACGGUCAGCCAUGACUACGUCAAAAAAUAUUCAUCUGCCAUUGCAAAAUGAAGAACCUUUCUCUGAGCGAUCCUCGUAAUUUUUACCAACUAGCAAACGUCCAUUGCGUGUACUGUGACGAAGGGUACUCUCAAUUGGGCUUUCCAGACAAAAAAUUGGACGUUCAUAACUCAUGGCUAUUUUUUCCGUGGCACAGAUGGUACCUUUAUUUCUUCGAAAGAAUUUGUAUGAUGUUACGUUUACUCUGCCAUUUUGGCACAGAUGUUACGUUUACCCGACCCCUGUUGGUUGCCAUCAAAUCUUCUUCUGUUGUUCUUUAGUGCGACUGCAAUAGAAUGAUACCGUAUGGGUUACGGUCUCAGUAGUCGCUGACAUUGAUAAGAAAAACAAUUGAACUCAAGAAGCAAGUAUGAUAUCAUAAAAUGUGAAUGCAAAAGGCAACAUUAAUUCGCCAUUUUUGUGUUCCACUUUUGCAACUCGAAUGUGAAUGCAAAGCUACGUAUUCCAGUCCAGAUUUACCAUGAACACACAUCAUUGGAAAUGAAAAUUUCAGUUUAUAAGAAAAAGAUAUUUGGUAGGCCAAAAACUUGUUCAAUAAUUGAAACAAACAAGGGGAGCUUAGGAAAUUUCCGGGCCAGAUAUGGGUACAGCACUUUCUUCUCGUCCCUUUGCAUAACAAUUCAAGCUUAGCAAUGAAUUUCUAGUCCCUAUCUUGAUCAAGGAGUCUGUUUGUAAGGUGUGUUUUUUCUGGUGUUUGUAUAAACUUUUACAGUAAUUUAUUGUGAAAGUUGAACAAAUUUUUUUGUAUAAAUAAGAUUUGAAAAAACUGAAAAAUUUUCAUGAUUUUUGCCUUUUGUUCUCCAUUCUUUUUUUCCCCCUUUCCUUCCUCUUUCUUCUUCCUCUCCACUCCUAUUUUGAUCUUCCUCCUCCCUCUCCAUUAUCGCCACCGCUGGUCGCCACCUCUCUCUCUCUCUCUCCCCCCCUCUUCAUCCUUGCCCCAUCCAUAUUGAUUAUAAAGUAUAAAUUCGUUAUUUCAUUUUAAAAUGUGGUGUGGCAGUCAAAUUACUACAAUGGGACCAUCAGCGGCCAUAACUAUCUCUCGUUAAAAUGUAAUUCAAAUAUUAAUAUUUUAAAAUAUAAAAUUAAAUAAGAGAAAUUUAUAAAUGCCAUUAAAUCAAAAAAAUAUCACUAAAGUAUGCAUAAAUUGCCAUUUUUUAAUGUCAUUAGAAAAGAAUUUUCUUCUAGUGUACAAUUAGUAGUGAAAUAAAGAAUCUUAGGGAAAUUAUUUGAAUUGUUUUCAUUUUCUUCACAGAGUUACUGUCCCAAAAUUACUAAAAAUUUUGGAUUGUGAUCUUUUGGACAUAUAUUUUUACAUUUUUUUCCACACAAUUUCCAAUCUCUUUUUUUUUUUUAAUCUUACAUACGUCACAUCCUUUAAAAAAAAUACUAUAAUAAUUUUUUUUCCAAAAAUUCUCCAAAAAAUGCAAUCUAAAUGGGGUCUAAUUAUUUCAAUGAAUCAUACAAUUUCAGGGUACAUCCAGACAAUAUCAAAUUGUGGGAUGAAUUUUACAAUCAUUAUUGAAAUGACACUAAUGGUCACUUUACUUGUGGUCCUUGAAUCUUAACCCAAUUAUGCAAAAUCUACAAUAGACAAUUGAAAAGGUGUCUGUGGGCCAUCAUAUCGCGCCAACUGAUCCACGUAUGUGCAUGCAUUUGUCCAAUCAAUGGAUAUCUUUAGAUAACUUUUUUUUCCAUUAAACCCUCGGCUAGCCCCAGGUGGUUUAGGUAACUUGUUUUAGAAAUUUUUUUUUAAAAAUAUCAAUUACGAAAACACUUUAAAACAAUCACACAAUUUGAAAAAUAUACAAGAAAACAUGAAAUAGGCACUGAUGGUGGGAGUAGGUACUGGUGGUAGGUGGAGUUUGCCGUGGUCUGUGAUGGGUGGUGGCCUGGUGGGGGAGGGGAAAAUAUUAAUUUUGAAUUAAUAUUAAUAUUUUUUAAAAAUAAACAUAGUAAAAUUUUAAAUAAACACUUUCAUUUGGAUUGGUCUACUUUUUAAAAACUAAUUUUUCAAAUACAAUGUUACAGUAAUACAAAAACAAAAACAAUUUAAAAAAAUUUCAUUCAUACAAUAAAUCAAAAACAACUCACAAAUAUACACAAAAAAUUUUAAAAAAUUUUACAAUAUUUUCCACUUAUCACUACCACUCGCCACCGCCACCACUGCCACCACUACCACCCUCUUCCUCCUCUCCUCGACCAGAUCCAGGGGAGGAGGGGAAGAUUGAAGGGUGGGGGGGGGAAAGGGAGGGGAGGAGGAAAAGGAAAGAGAAAGGAGGAGAGAAAGAGUGGUGACGGUUGUGGUUGUAGGUGAUAGUAUUAAUUUUUAAAAAAUAUUUUAAAAAUAUUUUAAAUUUAAAAAGUACUUCAAAUUAUAUUUCAAAAACUCCUCCAAAAAAUCACAAAAAAAAUUUUAUAGUAAAAAUUUUUCAGACACACUACUAUAGUAAAAUAUUUCAAAAAAAUUCCAAAAAAUAACUUAUCCAAACGAACCUAUAAUAUCCAAGCAGACCGUCAUUGAACAAGUUCUGCUUUUUUAUUCGCUGCAUUUAUGCUCAAUUAAAAGAUUGCACUGAAAUAUCAAAACUAUAUUAUCUAUUUUCCUUUUCUUCUCAAAGGUAUUGAAAAAGUUUUUUAACUUAAUACUUUGAACGAAAUAUCAUAUUAUAUCAGAAUAAUCCAAACAAUACAAAAUUGGCUAAUUGAAUUUUUUUAUUAUUACUCAAACCACUAUAAUUACUUUGCUUGUGGUCCUUUAUUCUCCAACAACACAUUAAAAAACAUACGCUCCAUUUGGAUUAACUAUUUUUGAGAGUGUUUUUGAAAUAUUUUAUUAUAGCAUUGUAUAUGAAAAAAUUUUAUUAUAAAUAUUUUUUGAAAUAUUUAAUAUAUUGUAUGAAUGAAAUAUUUUUUGAGUUAUUUUUGUUUGUAUAUUACUAUAAUAUUGUAUUUAAAAAAUUUGUUUUUGAAAAAUAGGUGAAUCCAAAUAAUUGAUAAGAGAAAAAAGGGAUCCUAUGGGCUAUAACACCACACGAACUUAUCCAUGCAUUUGUAGAGUUCUGCUGUCCAGUCUCAGCAUUUAUCCAUUUAUACAUUAUCGAAAGAUUUCUUUCUGCUCUCCACUAUCCACAUUAAUUAGACUAUCAUUCUCGAAUGGGUUUGGACAGGUGCGUUUUAGGUUUCUAUGCAAAUUUUUUUUUUUUUUUUUGUCGCUCCUAGAAUUUAAUCUAAUCUAAUCGAGGGGAGGAGGGGGAGGGGGACUCGAUGUGACUCCAUCGAACAUGACCAAUUAAGAUCGUCAUAAAUUGUAACAAUUUUUGGGUGAGAGGCAAGGAUCGAACCCUUAACCUCCCGCACCACCAAUACUUUUAAAGGCUUCUAUGCAAUUAUUUGAUUGUGUAUAUUUUACACAAUCUGGCAUACACUAAUAUUAUUAAUUUAAUAUAUGAAUAAAACUACAUUGAUAAACAUACACCAACAUCUAAAAAAAAAACAGAAAAAUGAUAUUAACACUUCCAAAAAAGUUUCUAACACUCCAUCCUCCCUUUAAAACAUAUAGAAACGAUGUAUUGCAGGAAGAGCACAAAAAAGGGACGGAAUGGAGGAUAGAAUGCUCGGGACUCUCUUUUUUUUUUUUUUUUUAAGUGCCAAUAAGAUCUCCCAAAAAGUAUCAAACCUCAAUUGUACUUGCUCCAAUUCCCUUCAAAUUGUGUAGAAUGUUAUUGAUCCUAUCCUAUUGAAUUAAUGCAGCAGUCAUCAUAGACUUUGCGACUGACCUUGCAUCCUUCUUCAAUUACAUCCACCAAAGAACACCAAUAACCAACCUAGAAAAAAAAAAAAAAAAGAAGAAAAACACCACUAGCCACAAGCACGUGUUUAACGCUGUACUUCUAUUUAGCAAGAAGAAAAAUAAAUACAUCGGUGACACGGGGUCGCCAAUUGCUUCAGUAUAAGAGUAGGAGCUUCCCUCAGCUUCUUCGCUACAACAAUCCCCCUAAAGAAAACUAGCCAAUGGCAUCUCUUUCAACUCCCCUUCAAAGCUCCACUGCCUACUCCUCCACCUCCACUCUGUCCUCCUGCCCUUUCUCAACCAAGCCAUCACAGUUUUACCUCAGUGCCAAACGUAACUAUCAUCAGUUCACGGUUUCAUGCAAAAACAAUGAAAGCCAUGAACAAGUUGACAAUCUUGAUAGGAGGGAUGUGCUUUUGGGCUUGGGUGGCCUUUAUGGCACCUCAAACCUCAUCACCAACCCUUUUGCCAUGGCAGCUCCUAUAGCCGCCCCAGAAAUCUCCAAAUGCCGUCAUCCGAAGGACUUACCUUGUGGAGCAGUUGUCACUGACAAUUGCUGUCCGCCGGUGCCCGGCAAAGUCAUUGACUACAAACUCCCUCCACCACCUAAGGUGAACCGUUUUAGGCCAGCUGCUCAUUUGGUCAAGCAAGACUAUAUUGAAAAACUUAACAAGGCGGUCGAGCUCAUGAAAGCUCUGCCAGCUGAUGAUCCCCGUAAUUUUACCCAACAAGCAAAUGUUCAUUGCGCUUAUUGCAACGGUGCCUACAUCCAAUCAGGCUCUGAUCAAGAAAUUCAAGUCCAUAACUCGUGGCUAUUCUUUCCUUUUCAUAGAUGGUAUUUGUACUUCUAUGAAAGAAUCUUGGGAAAGCUAAUAGGCGAUCCCAGUUUUGGACUGCCCUUUUGGAACUGGGACAACAUUGGUGGUAUGACCCUACCGUCCAUAUUUCAGGACCAAUCGUCAGCACUGUAUAACCAAAAUCGUAACCAAAGUCAUCUGCCACCAACAGUCGUGGACUUGGGGUAUAAUGGUACGGAUACAGAUGCAACAGACAUAGAAAGGAUAAAAAACAAUUUGGCAAUCAUGUACCGUCAAAUGGUCACUAAUUCCACCACUGCCAAAGAUUUCUUUGGAAAGGAAUACCGGGCCGGCGAUGCGCCCAGCCCGGGUGCAGGGUCCAUCGAGGCCAUUCCCCAUAUCCCAAUCCACAGGUGGGUCGGCGAUCCAAGGCAGCCAAAUGGUGAAGAUAUGGGUAAUUUCUACUCAGCUGGAAGAGAUAUUGUGUUCUAUAGCCAUCAUGCAAAUGUGGACCGGAUGUGGACAAUUUGGCAGCAAUUGGGAGGUAAAAGGAAGGAGGUCCCCGAUCCAGAUUGGCUGAAUUCUUCCUUCAUUUUCUACGAUGAAAAUGCUCAGCCUGUCUGCGUGAAAGUUGGUGAUUGUUUUAGCAAUGAUAAAAUGGGAUAUAUUUACCAAAAGGUGGAUAUUCCUUGGGUCAAGAAUAAGCCCGUGGCCCGCGUGACAAAAUCUAGGGUGGCUUUCACUUCCGGGGCACCACAAGCUGAUAAGGUCUUCCCGGGACCCCUUAACAAGACCGUGAAAGUGUUGGUCAAGAGGCCCAAAUUAUCAAGAAGCAAGAAGCAAAAGGAGGAGGAGGAAGAGAGAUUGGUGGUGUCCGGGAUCGAGUUUUCCAUGGACAAGUAUGUUAAGUUUGAUGUUUUCAUUAAUGAUGAAGAUGAUAAUCCAAACGAUUUUGCUAAGUCCGAGUAUGUUGGGAGCUUUGCACAUUUGCCACACAAGGUUAAAGGUGACAUGAAAGUUAAGACUACUCAAACCUUUGAGUUGACUGAGAUUUUGGAGGACUUAGAUGUUGAAGAAGACGAUGCCCUGUUGGUGACUUUGGUGCCAAAGUCCAAAACUGCUCUUACCAUUGAUAGCAUCAAGAUUGAGGUUGCUGCUUGAUUCACCUGCUAGUACUUUUUUUUUUUUUUUUUUAAUCUCCUCCCUGGGAAAAAAUCUGGCAUUAGAUUUCAUCGAUUGCUUUGAUUUUGACCUAUGCAUGCAUGUUUCAGCACCAUGAAUAAAAUACUUCUGGUGUGCUUGUCACCAGUUAAUAAAAAUAUGUUUCAGCACCUAUCUGACAACGUCCCUUUUGGUUUUUCUUUUUGAAAAGUUUAAUUUACAUUAAAGUUUAAGAUCUUAUGACGCCAUCUAUCUAACUUUCUCCACUCAAAAAAAAAAGGAAAAAAAAAGAAAUAGAAAAAGACAAUUCUUCCUCAAUCAAAAUUAAAUUUUUCUGUGCGUAUCCAGAAGGAAAACAAAAAGUAAUCCUCAAGUACCACGUUUGGCAAAGCUUACAAGUGUUAGCUUCCGAUUCGCCAUUUCAAGUAGUCAGAUAGACUAUACAUUUAAUUUACCAAAAUAUAGGAGAGUAUUUUUUUUUUUUUUUUGAAAAAGAAUAUAGGAGAGGUUACAAAAAGUAAGGGAAUUCUACAAUAAUAAUGAUCCUUGCUUUUUGUGUGUUGAGGAAAGAGGUGAUUUCUUAAAUUUGUGCGAUCCCACUUUUCAUUUCAUAUACCACUUUUGAUUUCAUGUGCAACCUUAUUAAUUUGUGAAGACAGAACUUUAUAUUCUCCUACUUUCACAAUCAAUAGUUCAAUACAUAAGAAUAUCUGCAGCACAUGUGAAAGCUUGAUCAACAACAAAGGAAUUGAUUAGUUUCUAGCUCAAGUUGCCUAAUGAUUCAUAGGAAUGAAAGUUAAAAGGGCUUGACCCCGGCUCCUAUUUUUUAAUGUACAUUUACUUUAUAGGAAUAGGGUAAUAAUAUGCCAACCUACCCAAAGUUUCACGACCACGACAUGGAUCUCCCCUUGAAUUCUUGGAAGUGUAAUUUAGUGUUAAGUGUAUAAUAUGAGCUGUUAUACAUUUUUCUUAGAAUUCUAAGGGCGUUCUUGUUAUAGUGAGCAUCCACUUAAACACUAACAUCUUCCUUGUGUGCAACUGCUUCUUGUAAAACGAUCUAAGCAAGUGUCUUUAAAAUUCUUGGUCCGACUCUUAAGUCCUUGUUUUCUUCAUUUUUCCCUUAUAAUGCUUGAAAUUUUCUUUGAACAAUUAAAAGAAAAGUUGAAUAAGGACAGAUAAAGAUUAAUAUAACUUUAUAUAAGUGAAUUCUCUAUUCCUUUCCCCCUCCCUACUUUUGAAGUUCUUGUAGAUUUAUUACCAUUCGAAAUAUUUGACAAACUUGGCUCUCUCACUCUACAUUAAAUAGCUAUCGGUCAAAUUUACCAGGUUCGGAUAUAUUGCAGUCUUGUAGGACAAAGACCGACCAAUAAUUUGAUGUCAUCGGAAAUGCCUGUCGAGAAUUUACAAAGGGAACAUAUCCAGUCUCACAAAUAUAUGAAAUGGGGCAACAUAUAUAUUUGGUGAACCAUAUCCAGUCUCACAAAUUAAUCUUGAGUACAAUAAAUAUGCUGUGCUCCAAGAAUUAGACUAGAGAUGGAUCUUCUGUGGUGUAACCGGGCAAUGACCGACCAACCAGUAGGCUAUGUAUAUUGUUGUUGGAGUAGUUAGAUUCACAUUUGAGCUUUCACAUGCGAUGUUUCCCUCGCUACUACAAAAAUGUCCUUUUAUGACAUUUAAAAGCGUCAUUAUAGCUCAAUGUAAUGACGUUUGAUCUAUAAUGACGCUCUGCUAGAAACGCCGUCCAUUCCAGCGUCACUAUAAGUUUUAUGACAGUCAGAGGAGUCAUAAUUUAUAGUUCUGUUGGCAUUUGUAAACGUCAUUAUUUAUCGUUUUAAUGACACUUUAAAAUGACAAGAAAUCCUUUGGACAGAAUCUCAUACUCAAAAUGUCCCAUUUGUAGAAUAUUUUUUAAAUUCAUCAUAAUUUUAGAAAUUUCUCUGAAAGUCACCAACACACUUUGAUAAUCUUCAAAUGAAUCAUUCUCAUCUUUCGCCUUUCGAAAGGAUAAUUAUUCUUUCCUGCGAGCCCACAUCCGAAUUAGUACUAAUCAGUAUAAACUUGGCAUACCCCUAUAACUAUAAGUAGGCUUGUUGAUCGUUGGGGCCUUUAGCUUUCAAUUGUCUGUACUACUUGGUUGUACUACGAUACUAUACAGACGGAAAACUUAUAAGAAAAUAGACAAUUUGUACUACACAUUUCUCGGCGGCCAUAGGUCAGACAAUUCGUACAUCUUUUUAAUUGUUCAUAAAAUAUUUUAACCUUUUUAAUCUGUUUUUUAAGUGUAUCUAGGUAGAUUGCAUGUGGAAGCAGAGAAGAUAUCAUCUCCUCAGCCGGCAGGACUUUACCUAUGCCUUUUCUUAUCAAUUUCUUCUUUUUUUUUUUUUAAUUUCUCAAAACUCCUUAAAUUUACUACACACCUUUCUAUAGAACAAACCUCAGCUCUAAUAUCCAACUACAAGAUUAAUACUAUUUAUACUCAAACACAAAGAUUAUUACUUAUUAAAAGAACAACAUCAAACUUUAGUUUGAAACUCUGUAAAGAAAUUAUUAAAUCAAGCCUUAUUACGCUUUUAUGCUUUAGUAUUAGUAUAUGUUAAGUUAGUAGAGAGCCAGGUGUCAUUCGUAGAGUAAGUUAUUUUUCAGUUAGUAUGAUGACGACAUGAGAUACAGUCCCUUGUACGUAGUAGUCAGUACAAUAGUUGUCAGGCAGUACGGUAGUUGUAUGUGACAAGUAAGCCGCAUGGGACUACCAUGAGAGUCCCUCUGUUUCGUCUAAAGUGUGCAAUGGCCUAAGAUUCAUGAGAGUAGAAAAGCCGCAGCCUUCAUCUUCAUCGUGAGAAAUAAAAGGUUUUUUUUUUCCCCUUUGUCUCUUAAUCAAUUUCCUGAAGAUUUUCUCGUGGGUUUUUGUUGUCGAGUAAUUUCUUGAAGAUUUUCCUGUGAUGAUGGUUUGGGUCCAUCAAACUCAAAAAUACAGCAAAGAAUCUUGUUUGUUGUUUGAAUUUAAUUAUGAAUUCAUUUAUUUAUUUAUUUUGAGCAAAAGAGGUUUAUGAAUUUAAGAUAUUGAAAAACAAAAGCAUAAAUCCCAGAUUUUAUCCACAUACUACGCUCUAGUAAAAGCCUCGCUAGCAUGCAUAGUUUUUUCGGCUUCAUUGCUAUGGAGGCUCACACUGCUUUUGUUUUCCUCUCCAUUACUCAUCAAUUAUGUAUGCUAUAAAUUAUAAUAGAUGAAGCAAUCAGCAGAAAAUGCAUAUGAUAAAGUAUGUGUGUUUGAACUUAGCAAAGAACAAUAAUUUUAUUUGAUUUGGGGAGAACAAAAAAUUGCUUAUGAGUACUAAACCAGUGGUUUUCUCUUAACCAGGAACUUGUGCAAAGUAGUUUGUUUAGGCACCGAUCCUUUUGUCAAAGAAUACAAGCUUCGUUUUUCCAUGCAUCAGGAACUUUUGUACAUAUUUAUACGUGUUCUUCUUACAUUUUCUGUUUUUUUCCCUUUAAAGCGACUGCCCAGGAACUUGUCAGUUGUCACUGCCUUUUGUCUAUGCAAUUACAUUGAGCACUUGUAAUUGAGAUCAGAAGAGCAAAAUUUAAGUGGAUUAUUUGAGUCACAGUUUUUUUUUUCACUGUGCAAUAGUCUCUGCAAUGUGCAUUAUUUCAGCAGCAGGAGGUCAAAAUCACAGCAUCAGACAAUCCAGGUUCCAUGGACUGAAUUGAGGCCAUAUCAGGUUUACGUCUCUUUAGUAAGACACCCAUUUCUCUCGUAUUUCUUGACAGCGCACUCAAAUACCUGAGCAAAAUUGCAGCCUUCGCGAAGGAUUGAAAUCAAUUGAUCGCUUAGACGCUGAGUUUUGUAUAGGUCUGUCCCAUUUUGCCUUAACCAUUAAGUCAUCUUCACUUCCUCUUUAUCAUGGAUUUUCUGCUGGUCUGAUUCCUAUGCUGGCUCCAUAAACUGUUCCCGCGUUCCGCACUUCCUAAAGCAGGAAAAAAAUGCCUGGUACUGUAACUGAUUUGAAUCGAUUCUCAAAUCCUAAACUAAUGCAAGCGAAAAGUGAAAUAAUUGACAUUGCAGGAAAAAUAAAAUAAAAUAAAAAACAAAGCAUGCUCAGACUGUGAAUAUACUUCUAGAACGAGGGAAAACUGAAGUGUUAGGAUAAUCUGAGACAUUUAUGCCCACAUUUGUAAGGUAGGAAAAACUGCAUAAAUGGCAUUUGCUUAGGAGAAAAGAAAUGUCGAUGCUAAAUUUGGCUUGAUUUAUCAGAUUUCUAUUCAUUUCUUUGUAGAAAUCGAUAAACAAUAGCAGAUUGCGAAUUUCUGACCACCAACAUGGCUGCCCGUGAAUAACGUGGAAGCGUGUUCCACAUGCACCAUCUUUUUCCACAAAGACUUUGCCAUGAGAAAGAUUGAAGGAGACUUGGCAUGGAACUUUAACCUGGAUUGCAGGGCAAAGGGAAUUAUUGUGAUGGUAACAAUACGAAUUUUCAAUUAUUUGGGGGUCAAUAUAUAUAAUUACAGCACCUUUGAACUUGAAGGGUUUCACGGUUUUAUGUAUGUUUCUGCAUGGGAUCUAAAUUCAUUACCUUUCCCCCCCCCCCCUUUCUGGGAACCUUGUACAGAUUAUGGAGGAGAAGAACGUAAAUUUUUGGAUACAUAACUGCUGAUAAUGAACCAUGAAGCCUCGUUCUUGGACUGACUCUGUCAUGUGUGUUGAGGGCUAUCAUCGAUGUCAUAGUCAUUUACCGCAUAAGGACGUACAUGGAGGAAUGGCAUUUACAGCAAAUCCUCCCAGCCGCCCUUGAAAGCUUUCAAUCCGUUCGAGCUGAAACAAAUGAUCUGAGAGAUUUGAUUUGUUUGAAGAAUUAUAAACUGAAAGGAAAGAAAUGAAAAUGAUCCUAUUCCAAUGUGCACAAGGAUCCUCUUAUUUGAGCUUGACAUGCCCCAAAAUUGUAAAAAAUUUUAAAUCAAUGACAGUUUAUCAAGAACACUAAUUGUGGAAAGAAACAAAACUUCUAAUUGUGGAUUAAAUGUCAGAGGUGACAUAAAAGAAAUGUAUUCGUCCUACAGUAAAGGAUCUGUUUGAUCAAAUGACAAAGAUAUCAUCAUCUAAUUAAUAGCAAUUAAGCAUAGCAUGUGAAGUCCAAACAAGGCCAAUCUGGCUUCCUGAAUUCGGAUUGUCGGUAGUUUUGUAGUAUCUAUAGAGAUAAAUAAAAAUGAGAUAAAACGAGACUAGGAGAAAACCUUAAUACGCUACUCGUUCUUGUGGGGGAAAAAUAGUGCUCAGAUGUUAGGGAAGUAAGUUUGCGCACCAACUUUUGUCAGUCCCAACAGGAUUUUACUCAAUACAAUAACAUACGACUCGGUAGUGAAUUUUGGGAAAUUCGGCAAAAUGUUUUGGUAAACUCUAAGACGUACUUAUUAUCACCACAUGUAUAUAUUUUUUGAAAUAUAAGAUUUCUAAAAUGCUGAAUAUCUAAGAUGUAAUUUCUUUUUUUUGUGGUUUCCAAGUAUUAUAUUAUUGUCUUUAUGUAUGCUUUUUCACUGAUGUGAAUGUUCUCUUUGAUGUUAUUUAAGCAAAAUGUUUCUUUUUUUUAGUUCACUGUUCUCGCACGUCUCAUGUGCUGAUUUUAUCUUCCAUUUUAGUUAUUUUUUCAGUUUUUUUUGGUAUUAAUGAUAGGUGAAAUGAUUGAUAUUGCUGUUUUAGUUAGAUGUUAAUGAUCAUUAGUGAUGUUUCAAUUAAAAUACUAAUUUUUAACGAAAGAUGAGACUGACACUGGACCUUUUUGAGUACUUUCAUGAUGUUUCUUUGGAAUGAUUUUGGUGGUGCCCGACAACUUUAUGUGAUUCCUCUGUUUUCCAGUGCAUGAGCUGUGUGAAAACUAAAAGUUUAACAAACGCCAAAACGAUUGAGCUGACAGAAAGUUUUUUUGCGAUUGACCGAAUUAUAAACAGCAUUACAAUUGACAACCACCAAAAUUAUCAGAAUAAAUACUAAUAAUUAAUUCCAAGGUAAUCUAAUCUAAUCUUAAAUAAGGGUACACUACUUACUGCUAGUUAUCAUAAAGGGGUCAUAAAAUACUAAUAAUUAUAUUAUUGCUGUUUUGGAAUUUUAACUUACACUCUAAUAUGCCUAGACAAGGGUAAGGAGUACAGAUGCUAAUUACCUUGCCGAUACUGUGCAACCAGAUUUUUCAAUCUUUACGGUAAAAUGAAAUUUUCAUGGAUCAUUCUAACAUCACUUCUUUGGGUGCAAUUGUUCUUACAUCACGUCCUUAGAUUUUUUUUUUUUUUUUUUUUUUACCAAGCAAGUUAAGACUUUUGUGGUAAUAAAUUAACCGAAACCACAAUUGUUCUUUACAUCACGUCCUUAGAUAAGAAUGAAAUUUUUGGUGGAUUAUGGCCACGCGUAGAAAAAAAAAAUCUCAGAAACUAGACUAAGCCUAUAUUAAUUCAUAUUAUAUUUGUGCAUGGAAAUGUGUACAAGGAACAGAAAAGGACGGAUCGCAGAUGGUCUGUUAACAAAAUUUCACGCAAACAUCGAUCAAACCUUGUAUAAAAGGAUGCAAGUGACCUGGCCAAUUAACCACUGGGCUUAGCUCCCUGGCUAUCAGGAGGGACUUAAAUCCUUUCUUGGGUUGUAGGUGAGGAUUCAAAUCUCAUCUGUAAAAGAAAAAAGUUUUAAAGAUUGUAUCAUAACAUUUUCUUGAUCUAGUUGAAUUUGUAUAUCUAUUGGCCCUUGACAUAAGCUUUCUUAGGCUUUCCCUCUCCCCUAAAUUAGAAUAAAAUAGGUUAUAUCGUUGUCUUCUUAGGCUUCCCCUUUCCCCUAGAUUAGAAUAAAAUAUAGGUUAUGUUGUUGAGAAAAAAAAAAAAAAAAAGGCCGACCUAUGCAGAGGCUAGUACAUGCAAAGCCCAAAAUGCAGACCUGACAGUAUUAGUUCAUUCAGAUCCAAAAGUGGUAAAACUUCAGCAGGGAAAUGUGAAAGAAGGGAUGUCCUUCUUGGCCUCGGAGGGCUAUAUGGUGCAACCACACUUGGCACCAAACAAUCAAGCCUUGCGCUGCCGGUUUCACCCGAUAUUUCCAACUGUACCGAUGCCAGGGAGACUCCAAAUGGCAUACCGAUCAACUGUUGCCCUCCCUCCGCUGCGGGUAGCAGUGAUUAUACACCUUCUGCUCGCGAAGUCUACACAAGAAUGCCGGCUCACACGGUCAGCCAUGACUGCGUCAAAAAAUAUUCAUCUGCCAUUGCAAAAUGAAGAACCUUUCUCUGAGCGAUCCUCGUAAUUUUACCAACUAGCAAACGUCCAUUGCGUUACUGUGACGAAGGGUACUCUCAAUUGGGCUUUCCAGACAAAAAAUUGGACGUUCAUAACUCAUGGCUAUUUUUUCCGGGGCACAGAUGGUACCUUUAUUUCUUCGAAAGAAUUUGUAAAAACUUGCUUGAUGAUGAUACGUUUACUCUGCCAUUUUGGCAAUGGGACGAUUCUUCAGGCAUGCAAAUUCCACCCAUGUUUAACGAGAGCAAAUUGUCCCUAUACAAUUGCUUCCACAACCCAAAACACUUGCCUCCUAAAGUGGUGGAUUUAGCUUACAAAGGCACCGAGAGUCAAAUCCGGUACAAUUGUUGCACAAUGUACAAUAAUGCAUGUACACGAUUGGGUUGGCGGCCCUUCCCAGCCUAACAACAAGGACAUGGGAGUCCUAUAUUCAGCCGGCUGAGACCCCAUGCUCGCCAUGCCAACGUUGAUAGAAUGUGGUACAUUUAUAACAAAGUUUUGAAACGCAAAAAUAUUGAAACGCAAGAUUGGUUAAAUUCCUCUUUUAUUUUCUUCAAUGAAGCGGCGAGACCCGUUAGAGUGACGGUUAAGGACUCCACAAAUCUCGCCACGCUUGGUUAUACCUAUCCUGACUUGCAACCUUCUUGGUUAACAUGUAAACCAACAGCGCGUAGAAAUGGCCUGAACCUGACAAAAUUGUCUUUCAAUGCCCCUAAGGCUAGUGAAGUGCUGCCAAUGAAAUUAGAGAAACCCAUCAGCUUCGUGGUUGAGCGGCCUAAGAAGGCAAGGAGUGGACAAGAGAAAGCAGAGGCAGAAGAGGUGCUAAAGAUUAAGGGGAUCGAAUUUGAUAAAGGAGAAACUGUGGUGUUCGAUGUGUUUGUGAACGAAGACAAUACGAGUCCGUGUAAUCCGUGCAAGGCUGAGUCUCUAGGAAGCUCCCGCACCUUGGCGCAUGGACAUGGCAAGAAAUCUACCACUUCCCGCAGUUGUGCGAUUUCAGAGGCGUUGGAGGAAUUGGGAGCUGAUGAUUUUGACAGCAUUUUGGUCACUUUGGUCCCCAGAAGAGGUGUCGUGACCAUAGGUGGUGUCGAGAUUCCCUUUGUUCCUAAAUCUUAAAUGCAUUAAUAGCAUUGCAAAUACUACGUGCACAAUGUUGUGUGUUUGUGUAAUAUUGUAAUCAAUCGUAAGUACUACAAACUUUGAGAAGAUAUUUUACUAAAUAAUUUCGACAACCAUAACUGGAGUCCUCGUAAACUUACCUUUACAAAUGACUUUCAAUCGGGCUUCUAAAUUCAUCAUUCCUAACUCUCUCUCUCUCUCUUCCGCAUUUUGUGGGAAUGGCAACAGUAGUAUCACAUUAAAGACAGAAAGGGCCGACUUUGAAAACGAGGGCCUUUCUUUCUUUUCCUGGUUCGGGGCCGACUCACUUCGUUCGCGCCGACGAAAAAGAUUUCAGACAUUACCUGCCACCAAGGAAAUAGUAAUAGACUGCCAUCAAAUCUUCUUUUUUUUUUUUUUUGGUUGCCUACCACGGUAUUCGGGGCUUUGCCCUGAUUAAUCCGUUGGUCGAUUCGGUUCAUAUACCUGACUGUGAUGGGCGAAUCUCCCAACAAGGAUGACUGCAUACACAAGGUUUCGAAACCGAAACCUGUUUAAGCAGAACAAAACUGUUUAUCACUUGGCGCAACCCCGAUUGGUUGCCAUCAAAUCUUCUUCUAUUGUUCUUUAGUGCGACUGCAAUAGAAUGAUACCGUAUGGGUUGCGGUCUCAGUAGUCGCUGACAUUGAUAAGAAAAACAAUUGAACUCAAGAAGCAAGCAUGAUAUCAUAAAAUGUGAAUGCAAAAGGCAACAUUAAUUCGCCAUUUUUGUGUUCCACUUUUGCAACUCGAAUGUGAAUGCAAAGCUACGUAUUCCAGUCCAGAUUUACCAUGAACACACAUCAUUGGAAAUGAAAAUUUCAGUUUAUAAGAAAAAGAUAUUUGGUAGGCCAAAAACUUGUUCAAUAAUUGAAACAAACAAGGGGAGCUUAGGAAAUUUCCGGGCCAGAUAUGGGUACAGCACUUUCUUCUCGUCCCUUUGCAUAACAAUUCAAGCUUAGCAAUGAAUUUCUAGUCCCUAUCUUGAUCAAGGAGUCUGUUUGUAAGGUGUGUUUUUUCUGGUGUUUGUAUAAACUUUUACAGUAAUUUAUUGUGAAAGUUGAACAAAUUUUUUUGUAUAAAUAAGAUUUGAAAAAACUGAAAAAUUUUCAUGAUUUUUGCCUUUUGUUCUCCAUUCUUUUUUUCCCCCUUUCCUUCCUCUUUCUUCUUCCUCUCCACUCCUAUUUUGAUCUUCCUCCUCCCUCUCCAUUAUCGCCACCGCUGGUCGCCACCUCUCUCUCUCUCUCUCCCCCCCUCUUCAUCCUUGCCCCAUCCAUAUUGAUUAUAAAGUAUAAAUUCGUUAUUUCAUUUUAAAAUGUGGUGUGGCAGUCAAAUUACUACAAUGGGACCAUCAGCGGCCAUAACUAUCUCUCGUUAAAAUGUAAUUCAAAUAUUAAUAUUUUAAAAUAUAAAAUUAAAUAAGAGAAAUUUAUAAAUGCCAUUAAAUCAAAAAAAUAUCACUAAAGUAUGCAUAAAUUGCCAUUUUUUAAUGUCAUUAGAAAAGAAUUUUCUUCUAGUGUACAAUUAGUAGUGAAAUAAAGAAUCUUAGGGAAAUUAUUUGAAUUGUUUUCAUUUUCUUCACAGAGUUACUGUCCCAAAAUUACUAAAAAUUUUGGAUUGUGAUCUUUUGGACAUAUAUUUUUACAUUUUUUUCCACACAAUUUCCAAUCUCUUUUUUUUUUUUAAUCUUACAUACGUCACAUCCUUUAAAAAAAAUACUAUAAUAAUUUUUUUUCCAAAAAUUCUCCAAAAAAUGCAAUCUAAAUGGGGUCUAAUUAUUUCAAUGAAUCAUACAAUUUCAGGGUACAUCCAGACAAUAUCAAAUUGUGGGAUGAAUUUUACAAUCAUUAUUGAAAUGACACUAAUGGUCACUUUACUUGUGGUCCUUGAAUCUUAACCCAAUUAUGCAAAAUCUUGUGGUCCUUGAAUCUUAACCCAGUUAUUCAAAAUCACGUGUUUAACGCUGUUCUUCUAUUUAGCAAGAAGAAAAAUAAAAACGUCAGUGACACGGGGUCGCCAAUUGCUUCAGUAUAAGAACAGGAGCUUCCCUUAGCUUCUUCGCUACAACAUCCCCCUAAAGAAAACUAGCCAAUGGCAUCUCUUUCAACUCCCCUUCAAAGCUCCACUGCCUACUCCUCCACCUCCACUCUGUCCUCCUGCCCUUUCUCAACCAAGCCAUCACAGUUUUACCUCAGUGCCAAACGUAACUAUCGUCAGUUCACGGUUUCAUGCAAAAACAAUGAAAGCCAUGAACAAGUUGACAAUCUUGAUAGGAGGGAUGUGCUUUUGGGCUUGGGUGGCCUUUAUGGCGCCUCAAACCUCAUCAUCAACCCUUUUGCCAUGGCAGCUCCUAUAGCCGCCCCAGAAAUCUCCAAAUGCGGUCCACCGGCGGACUUACCUCCAGGAGCAGUUGUCACUGACAAUUGCUGUCCGCCGGUGCCCGGCAAAGUCAUUGACUACAAACUCCCUCCACCACCUAAGGUGAACCGUUUUAGGCCAGCUGCUCAUUUGGUCAAGAAAGACUAUAUUGAAAAACUUAACAAGGCGGUCGAGCUCAUGAAAGCUCUGCCAGCUGAUGAUCCCCGUAAUUUUACCCAACAAGCAAAUGUUCAUUGCGCUUAUUGCAAUGGUGCCUACGUCCAACCAGGCUCUGAUCAAGAAAUUUCAGUCCAUUACUCGUGGUUAUUCUUCCCUUUUCAUAGAUGGUAUUUGUACUUCUAUGAAAGAAUCUUGGGAAAGCUAAUAGGCGAUCCCAGUUUUGGACUGCCCUUUUGGAACUGGGACAACAUUGGUGGCAUGACCAUACCGUCCAUAUUUAUGGACCAAUCGUCAGCAUUGUAUAACGAAAAUCGUAACCAAAGUCAUCUGCCACCAACGGUCGUGGACUUGGGGUAUAAUGGUACGGAUAGAGAUGCAACAUGCACAGAAAGGAUAGAAAACAAUUUGGCGAUCAUGUACCGUCAAAUGGUCUCUAAUGCCACCACUGGCAGAGAUUUCUUUGGAAAGGAAUACCGGGCCGGCGAUGAGCCCAAUGCCUUUGCUGGCGCAGGGUCCAUCGAGGCCAGUCCCCAUAUUCCACUCCACAGGUGGGUCGGCGAUCCAAGGCAGCCAAAUGGUGAAGAUUUGGGUAAUUUCUACUCAGCUGGAAGAGAUGUUCUGUUCUAUAGCCAUCAUGCAAAUGUGGACCGGAUGUGGACAAUUUGGCAACAAUUGGGAGGUAAAAGGAAGGAGGUCCCCGAUCCAGAUUGGCUGAAUUCUUCCUUCAUUUUCUACGAUGAAAAUGCUCAGCCUGUCCGCGUGAAAGUUCGUGAUUCUUUUAGUAAUGAUAGAAUGGGAUAUAUUUACGAAAAGGUGGAUAUUCCCUGGCUUAAGAAUAAGCCUGUGCCCCGCGUGAGAAAAUCUAGAGUGGCUUUCACUUCCGGGGCACCACCAGCCGAUAAGGUCUUCCCUGGACCCCUUAACAAGAUCGUGAAAGUGUUGGUCAAGAGGCCCAAAUUAUCAAGAAGCAAGAGGCAAAAGGAGGAAGAGGAAGAGAGAUUGGUGGUGUACGGGAUCGAGUUUUCCAUGGACAAGUAUGUUAAGUUUGAUGUUUUCAUUAAUGAUGAAGAUGAUAAUCCAAACGAUUUUGCUAAGUCCGAGUACGUUGGGAGCUUUGCAAAUUUGCCACACAAGGUUAAAAGUGGCAUGAAAGCUAAGACUACUCAAACCUUUGAGUUGACUGAGAUUUUGGAGGACUUGGAUGUCGAAGACGAC